UUUUUCUAAGUACAGCGGUAGCAUUAUAAGAUGAUCUCUCACUAAAUUUCAAGGUAUAAGUGUUCUCCCUGAGUAUGCACCGUUGCGACAGUUCAUCGUGCCGAGACACCACGUGAUGAUCGGGUGUGAUAAGCUCUACGUUCACAUACAACGGGUGCAAUCCAGUUUUGCACAUGCAGAAUACUCGGGUUAAACUUGACGAGCCUAGCAUAUGCAGAUAUGGCCUUGGAACACUGAGACCGAAAGGUCGAGCGUGAAUCAUAUAGUGAUGUUCACCAUUGAAAACUACUCCAUCUCACGUGAUGAUCGGACAUGGUUUAGUUGAUAUCGAUCACGUGAUCAUUUAGAUGACUCGAGGGAUGUCUAUCUAAGUGGGAGUUCUUAAAUAAUAUGAUUAAUUGAACUUAAAUUUAUCAUGAACUUAGUCCUGAUAGUAUUUGCAUAUCUAUGUUGUAGAUCAAUAGCUCCCGUAUAGCUUCCCCGUUUAUUUUUUUAUAUGUUCCUAGAGAAAAAUAAGUUGAAAGAUGAUAGUAGCAAUGACGCGGACUAGGUCCUUGAUCUGAGGAUUAUCCUCAUUGCUGCGCAGAAGAAUUAUGUCCUUGACGCACCGCUAGGUGACAGACCUAUUGCGGGAGCAGAUGCAGACGUUAUGAAUGUAUGGCAAAGCUCGGUAUGAUGACUACUUGAUAGUUUAGUGCACCAUGCUUUACGGCUUAGAACCGGGACUUCAAAAAUGUUUUGAACGCCAUGGAACAUAUAAGAUGUUCCAAGAGCUGAAAUUUGUAUUUCAGACUCAUGCCCGAGUCGAGAGGCAUGAGACCCCUGACAAGUAUUUUGCCUACAAGAUGGAGGAGAAUAGCUCAACCAGUGAGCAUGUGCUCAGAAUGUCUGAGUACUACAAUCGCUUGAAUCAAGUGGGAGUUAAUCUUCCAGAUACGAUAGUGAUUGACAGAGUUCUCUAGUCACUAUCACCAAGUUACUAGAACUUUGUGAUGAACUAUAAUAUGUAAGGGUUGAAGAAAACGAUUCCCGAGCUCUUCGCGAUGCUGAAAUCAGCGAAGGUAGAAAUCAAGAAAAGCAUCAAGUGUUGAUGGUUGACAAGACCACUAGUUUCAACUUUCAAGCAAAAGGGCAAGGGAAAGAAAGGGAACUUCAAGAAGAAUGGCAAGCAAGUUGCCACUCCCAUGAAGUAUCCCAAAGAUAGACCCAAGCAUGAAACUGAGUGCUUCUACUACAAAGGAAAUGGUCACUGGAAGUGGAACUGCCCUAGAUACUUGGCGGAUAAGAAGGAUGGCAAAGUGAACAAAGGUAUAGUUGAUAUACAUGUUAUUGAUGUGUACUUUACUAGUGUUUAUAGCAACCCCUCAGUAUUUUAUACUGGUUCAGUUGCUAAGAGUAGUAACUCAAAACGGGAGUUGCAAAAUAAACAGAGACUAGUUAAGGGCGAGGUGAUGAUGUGGGUUGGAAGUGAUUCCAUGGUUAAUAAGAUCACCAUCGCACAGUCCCUUUACCUUCGGGAUUAGUGUUGAACCUAAAAUAAAUGUUAUUUGGUGUUUGCGUUGAGCAUGAAUAUGAUUGGAUCAUGUUUAUUGCAACACGGUUAUUCAUUUAAAUCAAAGAAUAACUGAUGUUCUAUUUACAUGAAUAAAACCUUCUAUGGUCAUACACUCAAUAUAAAUGGUUUAUUGAAUCUCGAUCGUAGUGAUACACAUAUUCAUAAUAUUGAAGCCAAAAGAUGCAAAGUUAAUAAUGAUAGUGCAACUUAUAUGUGGCACUGCCGUUUAGGUCAUAUUGGUGUAAAGCGCAUGAAGAAACUCCAUGCUGAUGGACUUUUGGAAUCACUUGAUUAUGAAUCACUUGAUGCAUGCGAACCAUGCCUUAAGGGCAAGAUGACUAAGACUCCGUUCUCCGGAACAAUGGAGCGAGCAACUGACUUAUUGGAGAUAACACAUACUGAUGUAUGCGGUCCGAUGAGUGUUGAGACUUGCGGCGGGUAUCGUUAUUUUCUGACCUUCACAAAUGGUUUGAGCAGAUAUGGGUAUAUCUGCUUGAUGAAACAUAAGUCUGAAACAUUUGAAAAGUUCAAAGGAUUUCAGAGUGAAGUGGAAAAUCAUCGUAACAAGAAAAUAAUGUUUCUACGAUCUGAUCGUGGAGGUGAAUAUUUGAGUUAUGAGUUUGGUCUUCAUUUUGAACAAUGUGGAAUAGUUUUGCAACUCACGCCACCUGGAACACCACAGCGUAAUGGUGUGUCCGAACGUCAUAACCGUACUUUAUUAGAUAUGGUGUGAUCUAUGAUGUCUCUUACUGAUUUACCACUAUCGUUUUGGGUUAUGCAUUAGAGAAAGUUGCAUUCACGUUAAAUAGGGCACCAUCUAAAAAUCCGUUGAGAAGACACCGUAUGAACUGUGGUUUAGCAAGAACCUAAGCUAUCGUUUCUUAAAGUUUGGGGUUGCGAUACUUAUGUGAAAAAGUUUCAACCUGAUAAGCUCGAACCCAAAUCAGAGAAAUGUGUCUUCAUAGGAUACCCAAAGGAAACUGUUGGGUACACCUUCUAUCACAGAUCCGAAGGCAAUAUAUUCGUUGCUAAAAAUAGGAUACUUUCUAGAGAAAGAGUUUCUCUCGAAAGAAGUGAGUGGGAGGAAAGUGGAACUUGAUGAGGUAGUUGUACCUUCUCCCGAAUUGGAAAGUAGUUCAUCACAGAAAUCAGUUCCAGUGAUUCCUACACCAAUUAGUGAGGAAGCUAAUGAUGAUGAUCAUGAAACUUCAGAUCAAGUUACUACCGAACCACGUAGGUCAACCAGAGUAUGGUCCGCAUCAGAGUGGUAUGGUAAUCCUUUCUGGAAGUCAUGUUACUAGACCAUGACGAACCUACGAACUAUGAGGAAGCGAUGAUGAGCCUAGAUUCCGCGAAAUGGCUUAAGGCCAUGAAAUCUGAGAUGGGAUCCAUGUAUGAGAAAAAAGUAUGGACUUUGAUUGACUUGCCCGAUGAUCGGCGAGCCAUUGAGGAUAAAUGGAUCUUCAAGAGGAAGACGGACGCUGAUAGUAGUGUUACUAUCUACAAAGCUUGAAUGUCGCAAAAAGUUUUCGACGAGUUCAAGGUGUUGACUAUGAUAAGAUUUUCUCACUCGUAGCGAUGCUUAAGUCUAUCCGAAUCAUGUUAGCAAUUGCCACAUUUUAUGAAAUCUGGCAAAUGGAUGUCAAAACUACAUUCCUUGAUGGAUUUCUUAAAGAAGAGUUGUAUAUCAUGCAACAAAAAGGUUCUGUCAAUCCUAAAGGUGCUAACAAAGUGUGCAAGCUCCAGCGAUCCAUCUAUGGACUGGUGCAAUCAUCUCGGAGUUGGAAUAUAUGCUUUGAUAAGGUGAUCAAAGCAUAUGGUUUUAUACAGACUUCUGGUGAAGCCUGUAUUUACAAGAAAGUGAGUGGGAGCAUUACAGCCUUUCUGAUAAGUAUAUGUGAAUGACAUAUUGUUGAUCAGAAAUGAUGUAGAAUUUUCUGGAAAGCAUAAAGGAGUGUUUGCAAGGAGUUUUUCAAAGAAAUACCUUAGAGAAGCUGCUUACAUAUUGAGCACAAGAUCAAUAGAUGUACAUCAAGACGCUUGAUAAGUUUUUUCAAUGAGUACAUACCUUGAUAAGUUUUUUGAAGUAGUUCAAAAUGGAACAAUCAAAGAAGGAGUUCUUGCCUGUGGUGCAAGGUGUGAAGUUGAGUAAAGACUCAAAACCCGACCACGGCAGAAAAUAGAAAGAGAAUGAAAAGUCAUUCCCUAUGCCUCAGUCAUAGGUUCUAUAAAGUAUGCUAUGUUGUGUACCAGACCUAUUGUAUACCUUAGCAUGAUUUUGGCAAGGGAGUACAAUAGUUAUCUAGGAGUAGAUCACUGGACAGCGGUCAAAAUUAUCCUUAGAGGACUAAGGAAAUAUUUCUCGGUUAUGGAGGUGAUAAAAGAGUUCGUCGUAAAGAGUUACGUUGAUGCAAGCUUUGACACCAAUCUGGAUGACUCUGAGUCUUGAUCUGGAUACAUAUUGAAAGUAGGAGCCAUUAGCUAGAGUAGCUCCGUGCAGAGCAUUGUAGACAUUAAAAAAAUUGCAAAAUACAUACGGCUCUGAAUGUGGCAGACCCGUUGACUAAACUUAUCUCACAAGAAAAACAUGAUCACACCUUAGUACUCUUUGGGUGUUAAUCACAUAGCGAUGUGAACUAGAUUAUUGACUCUAGUAAACCCUUUGGGUGUUAGUCACAUGGAGAUGUGAACUAAUCACAUAAAGAUGUGAACUAUUGGUGUUAAAUCACAUGACGAUGUGAACUAGAUUAUUGACUCUUGUGCAAGUGGGAGACUGAAGGAAAUAUGCCCUAGAGGCAAUAAUAAAGUUGUUAUUUACAUUUCCUUAUAUCAUGAUAAAUGUUUAUUAUUCAUGCUAGAAUUGUAUUAACCGGAAACUUAGUACAUGUGUGAAUACAUAGACAAACAGAGUGUCCCUAGUAUGCCUCUACAAGACUAGCUCGUUAAUCAAAGAUGGUUAAGUUUCCUGACCAUAGACAUGUGUUGCAUUUGAUGAACGGGAUCACAUCAUUAGAGAAUGAUGUGAUGGACAAGACGCAUCCGUUAGCUAAGCACUAUGAUCGUUUAGUUUAUUGCUAUUGCUUUCUUCAUGACUUAUACAUGUUCCUCUGACUAUGAGAUUAUGCAACUCCCGAAUACCGGAGGAACACUUAGUGUGCUAUCAAACAUCACAACAUAACUGGGUGAUUAUAAAGAUGCUCUACAGGUGUCUCCGAUGGUGUUUGUUGAGUUGGCAUAGAUCGAGAUUAGGAUUUGUCACUCCGUGUAUCAGAGAGGUUUCUCUAGGCCCUCUCAAUAAUGCAUGUCACUAUAAGCCUUGCAAGCAAUGUGACUAAUGAGUUAGUUGCGGGAUGAUGCAUUCCGGAACAAGUAAAGAGACUUGCCGGUAACAAGAUUGAACUAGGUAUGAUGAUACUGUCGAUCGAAUCUCGGGCAAGUAACAUACCGAUGACAAAGGGAACAACGUAUGUUGUUAUGCGGUUUGACCCAUAAAGAUCUUCACAGAAUAUGUAGGAGCCAAUAUGAGCAUCCAGGUUCCGCUAUUGGUUAUUGACCAGAGAUGUGUCUCGGUCAUGUCUACAUAGUUCUCGAACCCGUAGGGUCCGCACGCUUAACGUUCGAUGACGACUUGUAUUAUGAGUUAUGUGAUUUGAUGACCGAAGUUUGUUCAUAGUCCCGGAUGAGAUCACGGACAUGACGAGGAGUCUUGAAAUAGUCGAGACAUAAAGAUUCAUAUAUUGGAAGGUUGCAUUUGGACAUCGGAAUGGUUCCGAGUGGUUCAGGCAUUUUUCCGAAGUGCCGGGAGGUUACCGGAACCCCGGGGAGAAGUAUUGGGCCUAGUGGGCCUUAUUGGAGGAGAGGAGAAAGGGCCACAAGAGAGGGGCGCGCCCUCCCCUUUCGCAAACCAAAUUGGACUAGGGGAGGGGGGCGGCCCCCAUCUUUCCUUCCCCCUCUCUCUCCCUUCCCUUUCCCUCCGUUGGAAGAAAGGAAAAGGGGGGCGAAUCCUACUUGGACUAGGAGUCCAAGUAGGACUCCCCCCUUUGCGCGCCCAACCUGGCCGGCCUCCUCUCUCCCUCCCUCCUUUAUAUACGUGGCCAGGGGGCACCCCAAUAGCACAACAGACAAUCUCUUAGCCGUGUGCGGUGCCCCCUCCGUAGAAACACACCUCAGUCAUAUCGUCGUAGUGCUUAGGCGAAGCCCUGCGCCAGUAACUUCAUCAUCACCGUCGCCACACCAUCGUGCUGACGGAACUCUCCCUCGGCCUCAACUGGAUCAAGAGUACGAGGGACGUCAUCGAGCUGAACGUGUGCUGAACACGGAGGUGCCGUACGUUUGGUGCUAAGAUCGGUCGGAUCGUGAAGACGUACGACUACAUCAACCGCGUUGAUAAACGCUUCCGCUUUCGGUCUACGAGGGUACGUGGACACACUCUCCCCGCUCGUUGCUAUGCCUCUCCUAGAUAGAUCUUGCGUGAUCAUAGGAAAAAAUUUGAAAUACUACAUUCCCCAACAGAUGCACUGGUCAUAUGACCGGAGACAAGUCGUUGUUUGUCGACCCCAACUUAAAUGCUUCAUCUCAGAAGUAUAUUACAUUUGGCGGCAACAACAAAGGAAAGGUAAUUGGGUUAGGUAAAAUUGUUAUAUCCAAAGACAAGAACAUUGAUGUUGUUUUCUGCCGCAUACACUCCCCAACAGAAUGGAGUUGUUGAGCGAGAGAAUAGAACUCUCAUUGAGAUGGCGAGAACAAUGCUCAGUGAGUAUAAAAGUCCAAUUCGCUUCUAGGCUGAUGCUAUUAACACUGCUUAUCAUGUCGUGAAUCGUGUUUAUCUUCACAAAUUCCUUAAGAAAACUUCAUAUGAGCUCAUCACUAGCAAGAAACCAAAUGUUUCUUAUUUAUGUGUUUUUGGUGCACCUUGCUAUAUUCGUGACAUGAAUCACAAUUCCAAGUUUGCACCUAAGGCACAUGAAGGUUUUCUUCUUGGUUAUGGCUCGAACUCGCAUACUUAUCGUGUGUAUAACCACGGGAAAGUUAUGGAAACGGUAAAUGUGUGGUUUGAUGAAUCUAACGGCUCCCAAAAGGAGCACCUGCCUAAUGUGAUAGAUGAACCACCGAUUUCGGAUGCUAUUUGUCAAAUGGCCAUUGGGAGCGCCAGGCUAGUUGAAGGAAAUGUACCUGACUCUUCCGAUGAUGAUGCCCCCAUGACUCGAAGCAGAACACGCCAAGCCACUGCCAAAGAAAAUGCCACUCCGAACACAAAUGGCAACCAGAAUGCAAAUGCCAAUCAAAAUGGCAAUCCUGAUGAAAAUGGCGACACAAAUGCUCAUCUCAAUGCUGAUGCUGAGGAUAAUGAAAAUGAUUGUCAAAAUGAAAAUUCUCACCCACGAGUGGCUAAUCGAGUUGACCCUGCAUUAAUUCUUGAAGAUCUUGAGAAUCCAGGUUAUCGACCCACAACUCGUUCUCGCACUCUUUUGGCUAACUACUGUGGCAAUUUCUCCUUUGUCUCAUUGACAGAACCUACCAAGUAUGAGGAAGCCAUGAAUGAUCCCGAUUGAAUGAAUGCCAUGCAAGAAGACUUGGGGCAAUUCGAAUUGAAUGAUGUAUGGGAAUUGGUCGACAAACCGAAUCCUAAGAAGCACAAUAUCUCGGCGCAAAAUGGAUAUUUCGGAAUAAGCAAGAUGAAAAUGGCAUUGUCGUGAUAAACAAAGUACGUCUUGUUGCUCAAGGGUAUAUAUGGGUAGAAGGCAUUGAUUUUGGUGAAACAUAUGCUCCUGUUGCUCGCCUUGAGGCACUUCAUAUUCUUCUCGCUUAUGCAAACUACAGUGAUAUCCUGCUUUAUCAAAUGGAUGUGAAAAGUGCUUUCUUUAAUGGUGAAACUGAUGAGGAAGUAUAUGUUAGAUAGCCACCUGGCUUUGAAAACCCUCAGUUUCCUAACAAAGUUUUCAGGUUGAAAAAGGCUCUAUAUGGGUUGAAGCAAGCCCUUCGAGCUUGGUAUGACACCUUGAAAAGGUUUUUGCUCGAUAAAGGGUUCAAGCCAGGAUCCACUGAUUCCACUCUUUUCACUCGUGCUAUUGAUGGUGAUCUAUUCGUCUGUCAAAUUUAUGUGGAUGAUAUUAUUUUUGGUUGUACUAACAAUGCUUGCGGCAUGGAGUUCGGGCGAAUGAUGUCCGAGAAAUAUCAAAUGUCUAUGAUGGGUGAACUUAAGAUCUUUCUCAGACUGCAGAUACGUCAACGGGACAAUGGAAUUUUCAUAUCUCAAGAGAAAUAUCUGAGAGACUGUCUGAGGAAGUUUAAAAUGCAAGAUUGCAAAACUGAAGGGCUACAAAACUCCAAUUCCCAUGAAUGGUCAGUUGGAUGCAGUUGUGUACAAUAAAUAUUAUGAUCAGAAAGCUUAUCGUUCGAUGAUUGGUUCUUUACUCUACCUAUGUGCAUCUAGACCUGAUAUUAUGUUGGGUGUUUGUAUGUGUGCUCGUUUUCAAGCUACACCGAAAGAAUCACAUCACCAAGCGGUCAAGCGUAUUCUGAGAUAUUCGGCUCACACCCCCACCUUAGGUUUAUGGUAUCCUAAGGGAGCACAGUUUGAUCUCAUUGGAUAUUCAGACUCAGAUUAUGCAGGUGAUCGGGUUGACAGGAAAUCUACUUCGGGGACAUGCCAUUUCCUCGGUAGAUCUUUGGUAUGUUGGUCGUCAAGAAAGCAGAAUUGUGUCUCUCUCUAUGGUUGAGGCUGAAUAUAUUGUUGCUGGUGCAAGUUGCACUCAGUUAUUAUGGAUGAAGUAGACGCUGAAGGAUUAUGGCAUCAAGGUCAAGAAGAUUCCUCUAUUCUGCGACAUUGAGAGUGCGAUCAAAAUUACACACAAUCCAGUGUAGCAUUCUCGCACCAAGAAUAUUGCGAUCAAACAUCAUUUUAUUCGCGAUCAUGUUGCUAAAGAGGAUAUUGUUAUCAGUCACGUCAAUACUGAAGAAAAUCUCGCUGAUAUCUUCACCAAGCCGCUCGAUGAGAAGAGAUAUUGUGCGUUAUGGUGUGAGCUAAAUAUCCGAGAUUCCGCAAACAUGUAGUAAGCUGGACUCGUCGCCCGUACCAUCACUUCCACAUCUUAGAAGGAAUGGGUGCACAACACUCGAAGAGUUUGAAGAGUUUGAAAAUUUUGAAAAAGUGAAAUUUUCUUUGUGAGAGUGAAUACAUUAAUGAAGAACUAGACUAACCGGGUGCCACGAUAAUUGUGCGACGCUCAGGGUCAUACAGUUCUUAUAUGGUGGAUCACGCCACCACAAUUUCCCUUCAUUGAGUUGCCUUUCGGUUGAAGGAUUUUGUGUUAGUCCGAAUGUAUUUCACCCAUAGCUUUUCUCUCGGGUGUUUGUGUUUCUUUGUCUGAGUGAAAUACCUAGGACCCUGUUUUCCCCCUAUUCUAUCUCCUCCAUUCUAUGAUGUUUCGAUAAGAAUGCUCAAAUUUCAUCUAGUAACGAUACUUUAUCUGGUAUCCUUGACCACGUUAAAGGUUCAUUCCGAACUUAAUUCGUUUUGGCCAAAGCCAUCCAAAAUUUGGGGUUUCCUACCCAAGUCAGGACCACGAUCUUUGAUGACGAUUGCCACGUGCUCUUCAUCAACUGUCGUUUUAUCUGGUCCGUUGAGUCACAAUAGUCCUUUGAAUGUGCUCGUUCGAUCAGAUUCACCAGAUGUGGUUAUUCCACCUCGCAUAUAUAUAUUGCAUCGCCAACCUUCCCCAAAUCCAUUUCUCCUCUUCGCCACCGUCACUUUCCGAGGCCCUACCGCACUGGUCCACCUUGAGCUCGACUACGUCGAUCAUCUUCGCCGCUUAGCUACCGAAAAGAGGUCGCCGGAGUCAUUCCUCGCCGCCGGGAAUCAUCAUCCUCCCUACGCCACCGUAGUUGCUGCACAUCACCGAGUUAGGGUAUGUGUAGUACGAACUCGUUCUUCAACUCAUCUUGUUCGAGUUUGUCCGCGAUAGAAAUUACCUAUAUUUACCGCAUUUCUCAGAUCUUUACUGAUAGGUAACUUGUGCGGAUGUGGUUUGUAGAAGUCCCCGCAUCCAAAAAGUUUCAGAUCUAGGGUUUGUGUUAUGUCUCGUACGACGGAAUGGUUAGCACAUUAACUAGUAUAUACUUCGAAUCUACUAGUUCGUUCUACACAUUUCUUUCAUCUGAAACAUUUCUCAGAGUCUGCAUCUAAUUCUUCUUCAAAACUUUUUCUUUCUCAAAACCUCGUUGUGAGCAUUUGUAACCAUGUCCCCAUUUUUCCCUCGCAUCUAUCCUUAUUCACAGGUAAAUGCAGUCAGUUGAGGAUUCGGCUCGACCAGUGAGCAUGGCUGAUAGAGAUGAUGGUGUUCUGGGUACAGCAGACGAAUCCAAAGCACCGAAUGCCAAGGGCCCCAACGGUAGGCCCAUCACCAGCAAGCGUAAGAAAACCGAGCAAAAUGUUGACGAGCAAGAAGAGAAUGCUCCGAAGAAGAAAAGGGGUGGCAUACAAGCGUAUACAAACACGGUUGAAUAUAUCUCCCAUGAUCGUUACAAUACUGUUCUAGGAGAAACAAAGCGGCAGAGAGAUAAGCGUCUGCAAUGGAUUCGACAUCACUGGGUGUGCAAAUGGUUCAGUUAUGAAUUUGUUCAUCCUCGGUUUGCUCAAAACUUUGCAUUUCAUCCACCAUGGGGUGACUGCCUAGAAAUUUCUCUCAUAAAACCAAAUGGUCCCCAAGAGAGACCACCGCCUCCACCAAAUGCUCAUGAGUCCUCCCUUCGCACACCUGAAUCCUAUCCCGAUGAGCUUGCUAAGCGUCAGUGAAAUGCCAUCAAGCGAGCUAAGAGGGGAGAAAAUAAAAAGGCUCAUGAAGAGGAAAACUGUCGCCUUCUCAAAGAUGAUGUAGAGAAUUAAAAGGCCGAAGGAAAAUCUGAAGGCCGCUCUAAACGCAAGCAUGAUCCCAGUACUGCUGCAUAAAAGCGAAAGAGUGCACCAAAGAACAGAACAGCUGCACCAGCUGAUGAAUUUGCCAUGAGUGAUCCUUCGGAUGAUGAUAAUCCUCCGCUCACAAAGAAAGAAGCUGAUGCUGCUCUCAGCGAGCAAGUGAAUAUCACUACUUCAACGGUGUUGCCUGAUCUUCGAGUCCCUAUGGUUCUAGAAGCACCACCGAAGAAGAUCACUGCUAGGAAAAUCCCACCUACCACUGUCACUAUGAAAUAGCAUGUGAACACAACUCCUCAUCCACAUGCUAUCAAUUUGAAGGAUUUGGCAGUUGACGCUCCUGUGAGUACUUCAAAGCCAGCGAACGAAUUCCCAAGCCUGACUUGAAGAAGAUCAAGGCACCUACUACCUAGAAUAAUGCUCCUCAAGCUACUGCUCCGACGGAGAAGGCUGCUAAGUUUUCUCCCACAUUAAUUCAGCCGCUGGCUUCUAAACCUCCUUCCGAGCAAGUUCCAGUGCAAAUUGCUCUAAUUACUAAGUCUGAUGCUCCUCACUACUAUGAUCAUAUGUUCAUAAUGGAACAGCUUGAUAAGUUUGUGGACAAUCCAUUCGAUGGUGAAGUGGCCUCUUUGCCUAUCCCUCCUGAAGUUAUUUCAUAGGCCACUAUUGUUCUUCAAGAAAUGAGAGAAGAUGCAUUUGAAAUCAACACUCUUUCUGCCGAACUCAAUAACCUUGAUCGUCGAAUGAAAAUUGCCUCUUCAAAAAAUUUCAUUAAAGCACUUGAGGACUCCUAGAAGGACAUCAACCGUGCCAUGACACUCCUCCAAAACAGAAGGUUGCGUUUUCACAUGGAUCUAGAUGAAAUUGUUCGCAAGAUCUGUGAUGAACAUCAAGCAGAGGUUACUGGCUAUAAUGAUCUGGUCAAAGGCCAUAUUAAUCAAGUUGCUCGGCAAAAGAAGAAGCAACGAAAGAAAACUGCGAAGAAAAAUGGACCUUCUGCUCCGACAGAAAAGUCACCUGAUCGCGCAGAGGCUUAGUCUCAAAAAGAAAAAACUCCUGAGCCAGUUGUUCCUUCGCAACCCCCAGUCAAAGACUCGGAUGCUCCCCCCUCGCCAAGGCUAACUGAAUCAGUGCAUGUGGCCUCCACUGCUCAAGCUGAUAAUCCGUCUCAGCGAACUGUUUCCGAGGAAGGUGAAAUCUCUUGCUCCGAGCCCCAAGCUUCUCCGUCUCAUGAAACACCAAAGGGCUCGGCCUCUCCACUUAUUCAGCAACAACAGAUUCCAGUGGAACAACCUCAACCACCUCAUGUACUUGAUUCGGCCUCAGAGCCUACAGUGAAGGAACCUACUGUGCUGCCUACUGCCUCUGCAGCUCCCUCUAUUGUGCCACCAGCUCCAUCACCACUUAAGUUGUCUCUCGACACAGCACCAAGAAUGCCAGAUAUUGGUCCCUCUGAACGAAAAUCUAUUUCUGCUCGCAAGACUGACUCUGUCGUAUAUGGCGAUGAAUAUCUCUCUCUUGAAGACGAACUCAAAUACCCAUACCCUCGUGAAGAACUACCUUUGUUCUUGUCAGGAGAUGGUGCAAAAGGUCCUCCUUUCAAUAGGAAUGUGCAUCCCAAAUUCUUUCAAGAUAGUCCGUAUGAUGGGCCGCGCACUUCGGAACCGCCUCGCUUCUGGACAAAAGAACAGGCCAUCUAUUACUCUCGGGUCCUCUAUGAGAGCAGAAAUAUAUUUCCGCAUGAAUACCUGAACAUCCCUGCUAUGCGCAAUAUUGGUUGCUUCAAUCAGUUACUGCAAGAUCUAGAUGAUUUCUACCUCGCCAAGUAUUCGAAUUCGAGCAUCCUUGGAAUCGAGAGCUUAUUCUUCAGUUCUAUGCUACUCUAUAUAUCUCUGGUGAUGAAUCCGACAGGUCAAAAUGGAUUAUGGAGUGGAUAAUCGAAGGAAAAUGCAUCAAAUGCACUUCAACUGAUUUUGUCUCGCACUUCCAUUUCCCUUGCUUUGAGCAUGGUGACAAUGAAAUUCGGGUGCACAACAUUGAUGUCAUAUCAGAUGAAACUUUUCGGUGCACUAUGGAUCAAGAAAAGAUUCGUGACUACACUGGUCCUCCCCAUCCUGAGCAUUUAACGUUCGAGAAUCAGACACUAUUCCACAUGCUCUUUUACACUGUUUGCCCUCUGGCCAGGAUGAAUAUAGAUAAGUCCAUCUUAGAUGUUCUUCGGAAUACUAUCUAUGCAAUCUCUAAGUGAUAUAUCUUCGAUGUUGAGGGCAUGUUUCUGCGUAUUCUGAAGGAUUCUUCUCAAUAUAUAUCCUUUCUGCCUCAAAGUUUUCAUGCCAUGGAUCCAGAAAGUCAUUAUCACGCUAUGCGCAUAGUGUAUCUGGCGAAGCAAAGUCAUAAAAGCUUCCUACUUCCUGUUCACGACACCUUGCAAAUCAUGGAAGAUAUUUCUUCGGGUAAAUCGCCUACGUCAAUCCCUCAUGAUUAUCACAAGCAAUUCGACGGGCCAUGUAUCCCUCAGCAUGACCAAAAGAUUUCGCCUCAACCUCCAUCGCAACUCGAAGUCAGUUUGCGUACACAACAGUUGCUGCUGUAGCACAUCGCUGAGGAUCAACGCGAAAAAGAACAUCUCGCCUCCGAGCUAAAUGCUCUCAACAAUUGCAUCGGAAUCAUGCAUCUGAUUGUAGAUGAAAACAAGAAGCGGCUCUGGAAAUUGCUUUGUAAGUUCUUUACCGAGAAACAACUCCUGAAUGUCAAUCUCCAAGAGCUCUAUGAUUAUAUUGACAAAGGCUUCACUAUUGAAAAUUUCCAAGAUCGGAGUAUCCCUCCUCUUCCUAGUCGUGAGCCAACCACUGAUCUUUUGCAUCUCAAGCUUCGCAAACUGCUUGAAGAAUCUGAAGCCACCUCACCAACAGAGAAACCUACCGAAGGCAAUAUGCUAUCCCAUGUUCCUCAUGUGGCUGACCCAAACAUGCCCUCGUCCUCUCAGCCCCAAGUUGUUAUCCCUGAAGGAAAAUCCAGUGCUGCUGAAGACAAAGUUAUUCCAGUCACUUCCAAAGACGAAGUCACCUCGGACAGUUCUUCUGGAGAUGCCACCGAGUGAACCAAGUUCUGCAUUUUUGCACUCAUGUUCUUCAUCACCUUUUUGACACUAGUUGACAAAAAGGGAGGAAAUUACAUCGAGUCUCAAUAGAUUUUCUUUCUGUGUUUCUUUGGUUUGGUUUCGUGCAAGUUUGAAACUUCUGGUUAAAGCUUAUCUGCUCUAAAUUGUAAAACUUCUGUGCUGAAAUGUUAAUAACCCCGCCUACUGCACUAUUUCUCUUGAAGCAUUUGUAUUGAAGGUGGAAUUAUUAUCGAAGUUAUGAAUGAUAGCACUACGAUCUCGAUGGAUUAUAUGUCAUCAGUGUAAAUCAUUGUCUCGAAUGAUUGAAAUUUCCUCUGUAUACCUCAAUAAUUGCAGGAGAAUUAAUCUCAUAUCUUUUCCCUGCAUACAUCUAGGGGGAGUCUAUUUCAUCAUUGAGCAAAGUAACACUUAUUCACUCUUGUUGGAGUUACUUGUCACUUAUCUAUCUUCACUUUGAUGAUUAUCUGUUUUCUCAACAACCGUCCAAAAAGGGGGACAUUGUUGGUGCAAUAAUUUGCCUCCUUAUAUUUUGGAGUUUGUUGACAUAAACAGUAUGGGACUUAUGUGUUUGCUAGUGCACAUAGAGUAACAGGUCCCUAGAAUCAAGAGGAGUUUGAUUCAAAGGCCGAAGAUAAUCCCCUGCGUGGCAGUGAAGGUUAUCACCGAAGAUUAUGAUAACAAGAGUGACCCCUCAAAAAUUGCUGACGCGAAGCAAUUAGUUCGAUGCUCGUCUGAAGGAAGUGACUGGGACCGAGAAGAUUGAAUACGAAGUGAAGAUGUAGCAUUUAUUUCAUUGUUUCUCUCCUCUUUAUUGAGUCACAGGACCACCAUACUAUUAAGAGGGGUGCAACAUUUUAAACUUUGAUUCUCUGAUGCUAAACUCAAGUCCUAUGAAAGUUCUGAUAGAAAUAUCUUUGUGUUUCGAGCAAAUGCUUGCCAGCAAGAGACUGUGAUCUUCUUCGCUGCGAGAGAUUUGUCUCUGAUCGAGGAUUUAGCAUUACUUGGUCCUCAAGUAAUGUUACUGUUGCUCUUAAAAUCGGACCGUUGUGAACGUGUCGGUUGGCCAUUGGCUGGACCACGUGUCCAAAAUGGUCAUUUCCCACCAGGGAAGGUUGUGGCUAUAAAUAGCCACCCAGCACCAGCGUUGUCCGGUGGCUGCUCCGUUUGAUUGUGAGAAGAUUAUUGAGAGCCAAAAAAUUAGAUAGUGAUUCAGCAUCACCCGAAUCUAAGUCCAGUACACUCCGCCUAUUACUCUUGAGAGCUGCAAACUCUCUAGACAGUUAGGUGUCAAUUUCUUCAGGGACCAAGAGUAACUGUGGUUCUCGAAAAAGAAGUCUGUAAAGGUUCAGAGAUCACCUCAAGUAUCUACCACGAGUGUCGUGGUUUUGUCACGGCAGAUGUCCUAGAGAAAGGACUUAGUCGUGGAGCCAUCGCUAUGGGUUAGCUCGAAGGGGUUAAAGCAGACAAGGGACGCAAGAGAGUUUUAUACUAGUUCGGCCCCUUCGAUGAAGGUAAAAGCCUACGUCUAGUUGUGAUGGAAUUGAUGGGGUUUCGAUGACCAGGGAUCGAAUAUGCUUUGCCUAAGUCUCGAGUUGUUGUCUGUUCUUCCUGAACCGCCGCCGGGUCGUCCCCUUAUAUACAUGGGUUGACGCCCGUCGGUUUACAGACUCCGAGGCCGGCUCAUAAUCGUGUCCGGCUCGGUCUCUGCUACGCAUAUCUUACAACACAAGUUUACAUCUCAAUGCCGGUUUGUGUCUACAUGCCUUAAACCGGCUUUGGGCCUCCAUGAAGCGUCACCGUCUGUCUUCAUGGGCUUCAGAUACAGAUGAACUACUUAUGAAGUUAACCCGGCCUCUCCUGGCCGGUUUACGCCCAGUGGUAAUAUCCCCAACAUUAGGCCCCAGAUUGAUUUGAACUGGUUCAUGUCAAUCCUCAAUACUUGAGAAAAUUUCUUCUUCAACACUUCACACAAUCUUGUAAACCGCCAUGACAUCAUCUUCUAGGAUGUUGGUAAACCGCCGUGACAUCACCUGUCAUUAACGAGCCUCCGACAAUCGAGGCGAUAGCCUUACCUUAUAUCCAAAAAUCCGGCUCCUCGAUUUUUGCAUCUGUCGUUUAUCUCCUUAUAAAUAGGGCCAGGGGGUCUUUCCAGUUUCCCCCUCGUGCCUCUUCGCUUCAUCUUCAUCCUCGCGACGCCCGAACCUUCGAUCUCGGCCGCCGCCGUCAACCUUCAACUGCUGCACCACCCUUGGCCACUGCAUCGACCUGAACGUACCAGAGCUCCUCCGCGCCCGCCGCUGCUCAAUAGCAUCCGUAAGUCUCCCCUUUCUCUUACCAUAGAUCUGCGCUUAGGGUUUCCGUCGUUCAUCGGUGUUCGUCGCCGCCCUUCUUUUCCCUUGUUUAUAUCCGUGGGUUAGAUCCAAAAACCACCUAGGUCUCGUGUGGUAGUAGUUUAAACCACAUAGAUCUCGUGCUUUAGCAGUUUCAGCACCUGUUUGAUAUCCAACUCAUCUCAUCUUGGUGAACCUUCGGUACACUGGAAUUUAGGUCAGAAUAUAUUUUGUUUUUCCUACACGCGGAGAUCUGAAAUUACCAUAGCAAGAUGUGAAACUUGUUUCUUCCAUCUCUUACACCCUUUGAAUACCAGAUUGGUCGGUUUAACCUCACAGGAAAAAUGAUGACCCGGUAGAUACCAUUAGUCCCCUGUUGAACCGCCAAUGCAUUACACUGUUCCAUUGCCAGACUCCGGUUUACCAAUAUGUUAGUAUCCUCAUACCGCUGUAUAGUUGUCCACUGUAAAUCUUAAACCGGUAAUACUCAUGUUUCAGAUUUUCCUUGUCAUGGCUAAACAAGUUUAUGAGUGCAAUUGAGCUCCCUCUCGAGUAACCGAGGAGCAAUUAAACAACCUUGUUAAGACGGGCGCCCUAGCCAAGAAAGAUGUCAUCCACUGGAGGGUCCCUGGCCCGGAAAAUCCUCCUACACCCAAGGAUGGAGAAGUAGUCAUGUUUGUUGAUCAUCUCGGACGAGGUUUUAGCCCUCCCGGUUCAAAAAAAUUCCGAGAUGUGCUAGCCAAUUUUCAGCUGCGCCCUCAAGACAUCGGUCCCAACUCUGUUACCAAUAUCUGCCACUUCCAAGUAUUCUGUGAAGCUUAUCUGCAAGAGGAACCUACAGUCGAACUGUUUAGGGAUUUCUUUCAUUUAAACCGUCGCACCGAGUUCUCAGAUGGACCCAAUACAGAACUGGGCGGAAUGGUGGUUCAGAAGAGAAAAGAAGUCACCUUCCCCCAUCCCAAACUCCACGGUCACCCCAAAGAGUGGAACCAAACUUGGUUUUACUGCAUGGAUACCUCUCCAUCUGACGAAAAACCCCUGCCGGGUUACCGCCCUGAACGCCUGAGCAACACACACUCAUUUCCUCAGAGGCUGACAGCAAGAGAACGGGCCAACUAUGCUCCCCAACUUUCGAAGCUUAGAGCCUUCAUGGCGAACGGUUUGACAUGAGUCGAUCUUGCUCGUUGCUGGAUAAGCUGGAGCAUUCUGCCCUUAAGCCGGCGCCCCGGUUUGAUGUGUGAGUACACGGGGAGUUUGAAGGAUGCUCAGCGGCACAUUGACAUUCAGCUUACAGAUGACGAAGUCACUGAGGCUGUAAAGAAAAUACUGAACGAACCGGAGGCCGUCUGUGCCCAAACCGGGCUACUCCCUUUCUGCACCUUCAAUAAACCACCAGCUAUAAGAAUCAUAUAAUCCUUUGUAUCUGAAUUUGCUUCUGUCCAAAUAUUCUCUGAAAGUGUGAUUAUUUUUCUGACAGGGUGAUGAUCCGUUCUGGAACAAGAAACCUUCACAAGAUAAACCGGCAAAACCGCAAGACAAAACGGUCAAGCCAGUUCAUCCAAAGACCAAGGUUGUCAAGAAACCUGCCAAGAGAAGGACCACUGCAUCCUCUGAUCUACCAGCUGAUGACAAUGUGCGUAAUCCGGAAUCAGAGGUAGAACUUGACUCUCUUGGUUUAUUUUCGUACAUCUCAUUGACAAUGAUUAUUAUCAGGACGACGCUGAAGGCAGUCACACUGAGGACGUAGAGGUAACUAUUCUUUCCUCCGAUUCAGAUCCUCUGCCAACAUCAAAAAUCCGUCAAGCAAACCGGAAAGUAAAAUUUUCUCACCCUCUUGCUUAUUUGGAUCCAAACUUUGUUUUGAAGACGCAGCAGCACGAAGCUCGCCGUACAACCCGGCACAGCGGCCAGGUAGUUACCUCCGCCGGUUUACCGAACAGUCCGGUUCGGAAACGCCGAUCAGAGGUCUCUUAUCCCAUUGAUACUUCAUGCCCAAAAGCAGGUUGUUUUCGCCAGCCUCUUAACCCAUCUGAUUCAAAUUAUCAGGGUACUUCUCACUCAUCCUCUGGCGAGUCUUCGGCCACACAGCUUCCACCUCUCAAAACAGUUCCUAGGUGAGUUAUGCACAUGUCUUUAUUCCUCAUAUGUUAUCUUUUCAUACUGUACUGAUCCUUAUGUCUUAUCUUUUCGCAGCGCCAAGCCAAGGCCCAGCAAGAAAGCUCGGUUGAACAAACCGGCUGAUAAAUAUGUAGCUGCUGAACCGGAAACAACUCCAGAUCUGGAAGAAACUAAUGCUGACGCCAUGCUUCACGAUCCGCCGCUUCAAGACCAUGAUUUCCUUGCUGAACAAGUGCAAGUUGAUACUACAAGUGAUGCAGACCGGCCAACCAGCCUUGUCUGAACUGGUGACAAACCGGUCAGUCCAACGAAGGACACUGAUAAACCGCCAACUCCGGCAAGAGCUACGGAUGAACAAGAUGAUGAUGUUAUGAUUACUGGCACUGGCCACUCCACUCCAGGCAACCCUGUAGCUUUGUCAAAGCAUACUGCCAAGGAUGAUCUCUCUGCUAUCGGCAAAGGCAAAUGGAAUGCCGAUUUAUCAAGCUUCGCCAACCUCAAUGUUUAAGACAUUCACUCUGGCUUCUUGAACCGUCUGUAUACCAGUCGUGACUAUGAAGCUAGUUUGGUAAACUUGAUGAAGGAGCGAUAUGAGGUACCUACUGCUUUUCUCCUUUGUCUAAUUUCAGUUCAUCGGCUCAUAGUAGCUCCCAAGUGACGGUUUAUGAUACCAAUCUAAACCGGGACUUUUGUCAUAACUUAACCUUGCCUAUUUAGCCUCCAGGGACCGGAUUACCUUGUUAAGUUGAACCGGUUCCUUAUAAUUUGCCAUACUUCUCUUUCGCCGGUAUAGUCCCCAAGGGCCGGUUUAACUUUAUAAAGAUGAACCGGGACUGUAGAAGAAUUCCCAUAUCAACAGCUUUUUGAGCAAACACACAUUAGCCCCCAAGUGCCAAGCUUAAUACUUGUAUUGUGUUUGGGACUUGUAAAAAUUUCUGAGUAAACACAAAUAUGCAUUAGCCCCCAAGUACUAAGGGCAUAACUUGUUAUGUGCUUGGUACUUCAAAUAUGUACUGUCAACUCAUUAUGUAUCUGUCUCUUUACAGGCGGAGCUGAGCAAGAAGGAACGCCAAACCGCUGAUCUGCAGGAGAACAUCAAAACCCAGCAAUCUGAAGCCUCCAAAGCGAAGGAAGAGUUGACCCGCGCUCUAGGCGCUAUGGAGAAACUGAAAGAGGGCUUCAACAAAGAGCGGGCGGAUUGGGAGACUGAAAAAGCCGCUUUGAUAAAAAGGGCUGAAAACGCAGAAGCCGCUCUUAAACCUGUGGUUGACGAGCUGACUGGUGUAAAGCGGCAAGUGCAUGCUAUGACCUCUGCUGUGUUUGGUAAGCAUACUUCCUUUAUGCUUUCAACAUAUCCUCUCAUGCGUUGCCGGUUUACUGAUGUUUGUAAUGAUACAGGAACCCGCAUUAGCCAUAUGGGCUCAGAUGUGCAGAAGAAGUUGAAAGCUGCCUACACGCUGAUAGAGCAACUUUAUACCGGCGUACAACGGAUUAUCUGCACCGCUUCGCACAAUAAGCCACCCCCGACGUUGAUCAAGGAUACCUUAGACAGGCUAUCUAUGCUACCUGCCCGGAUAGAAGAGCUAAAGAGGUCUGCUGCAAGGGCUGGCGCUCUGACCGCGCUAACCCGGGCAAAAGCAUGGGUGCCUGAUCUUGAUCCGACGGACGUGGCUAAAGGCUACCCAAGCUUGAAAGAGGACGGAUCAGAAUUUUGCACUGAAGAUCUCCGCGCCAUAAACCGGGAAGUACGUCCACUGGCUUGUCAACUUGCUGAAGAAGCUGAUCUUUCACAUUAUCAGGCGAGUUAUGAUAUUAAUAACAAGCGGGUUGCUGCACCAGCUCUUCAAACUCAAAGCCUGAUCCCUCCAAUCCAUAAGCACACUUAUGCCCCUGAUAUUGAACCGUCCACCCUUAUAAGCGACGAAGCUGUGUUCCAAGCUUUAACUGGGAUCGACUGGACAACUGUUGACUUCCAGCCGCUGGGUAGGGACGAAGAAGAAGCAGCAAGAUGACCCGCAGCCGUCAGGUCAAGCUACUCAGUGAUCAUAACCCGGGGGCCGGUUUAACCUUCCAUACUGCAAUGUUUAUUGAGAAACAAUUAUUCCUUUGGGUACUGAAACGCCUUGUAAUAGGCUAGUUAAAACACUUGGUCUGUUAUGCCUUCAUGCAUAUUUAUCAGCAACUGAUGUGUGUUAAUCCGCCAUGCUUUGCGAUAUGAUGUUCAUAAUCCAUAGCUAUUUAUUCCAAUUGUUCCUGCAGAUAAAAAGCUUAAAGCGCCCUGGCGGUUUACCACCGGGCGGGUCAUGAUACCCAACUAUAUAUAUGACCAAGUUUUAUAACCAAGGUUGUCAAAGAUAACCAAGUAUGGAAAUAUAUGAUACCUGCGACCUUUAGGCAUAGUGUUGGCUGACCAACCUUGUAAUGAAGGUAAUAACCUUAAUCCGGAGUAAAAGUAUCUCCUAUUAUAUAAUGCCGGUUUACAACAAAACCGUUCCGGGUUGUGAUAAACACCGGCUUAUUCUAUACUGGUGACUAUGAGUCAAAACCAGACCGGGCUGAUAGUCUCCGGAUUAUAACUUGGUCAUGUACUGACAACUUGUAGUUGACAGCCCAACCGGGUUGAAAAAUACUGGUUUGAAAACAUCACAAAUCUUAGCAAAAGAAAAAGAAACUUAGCAAAAGACAAAUAAAACCGUUGUAGUCGAGGCUUUUCAUGGGCUGCCAGGCCCCAAAUUUGAUCAAGAGGUGUUGCUAUGGUUCGGGUUCGACCAAGCCCCCAAAUGAUGUUGUGGCAUUACGCCGAUCAAAAGGCAUUGCUAUGGUUCGGGUUCGACCAAGCCCCCAAGUGAUUAUGUGGCUUUACGCCGAUCAAGAGGCGUAGUCAUGGUUCGGGUUCGACCGUGCUCCCAAGUGAUGCUGUGGCAUUACGCCGAUCAAGAGGCGUGGCUAUGGUUCGGAUACGACCAAGCCCCCAAGUGAUUCUGUGACUUUACGCCGAUCAAGAGGCGUAGUCAUGGUUCGGGUUCGACCAUGCUCCCAAGUGAUGCUGUGGCAUUACGCCGAUCAAGAGGUGUAGCUAUGGUUUGGAUACGACCAAGCCCCCAAGUGAUCUGAUAUCAAGCUUUAAGAAGCUAAAUCAAGGGGUAAACCGGACGCCGCUUUGUAAGCUCCAUGUAACCACACGUGAUGUAAGAAAACAACAGAUACCCCGCUUUAGCUGAGGUUCCGGUUUAUUAUAUUGAUCAUAAUAUAUACAAUGUCAUAAUAUGUACAUAAGCAGAUCCUGUAGCUCAAGUAUAGUAGGGUCGAAGAUGAGCAAUAUUCCACGGCCGGUUGGUCUCCUCCUCCGAUUUACGUGAGUCUUUGCGCUCUCGAACAUCGAUUAGGUAGUACGACCCAUUGUGCAAAUCCUUGCUAGCCACAAAAGGCCCUUCCCAAGGGGGGAUAGCUUGUGCAUAUCCGUCUGAGCCUGGAUGAGUCGAAGCACCAAAUCUCCUUCUUGAAAGGUUCUGGUUCUAACCCGGCGGCUAUGAUAACGACACAGAUCUUGCUGAUAAAUCGCCUAAUGGGCUGCCGCCAUGUCACGCUCCUCAUCUAACAGGUCAAGAGCUUCCUGCCGUGCCUUCUCGUUAUCCGCUUCAACAUAUGCCGCUACACGAGGCGAGUCAUGACGGAUGUCACUAGGAAGAACCGCUUCCGCUCCGUAAACCAUGAAGAACGGCGUGUAGCCUGUCGAUCUGUUGGGUGUGGUAUUGAUGCUCCAAAACACUGAAGGUAACUCCUCAACCCAACAACCUGGCGUACGUUGCAAAGGAACCAUAAGCCGGGGUUUGAUGCCUCUCAAGAUCUCUUGAUUGGCCCUCUCCGCUUGACCAUUGGACUGGGGGUGAGCCACUGAUGACACGUCAAGCCGGAUGUGCUCACGUUGACAGAACUCCUUCAUGGCACCGUUUGACAGAUUGGUACCAUUGUCUGUUAUAAUGUUGUGUGGAAAGCCAAACCGGAAGAUCACCUUUUUGAUGAAUUGAACUGCCGUGGCUGCAUCACACUUACUAACUGGCUCUGCCUCCACCCAUUUUGUGAACUUAUCAACCGCCACCAAAAGGUGGGUCUUCUUGUCUUGGACCUCUUGAAAGGCCCAACCAUAUCCAGCCCCCAAGUUCGGCCAGGUGAUUGGAAUCAUCCUCAAUUCUUGAGCUGGUACAUGAACACGCCGUGAGAAUUUCUGACAGCCAUCACAUCUUUUAACCAAGUCCUCGGCAUCAGCAUGAGCUGUCAACCAAUAAAAACCGUGACGAAACGCCUUGGCCACCAAAGAUUUUGAACCGGCAUGGUGCCCACAAUCUCCUUCGUGGAUCUCACGCAAAAUUUCAUGGCCUUCCUCAGGAGAUACACAGCGUUGAAACACCCCUGUCACACUGCAAUGAUGUAGCUCUGCAUUGAUAAUAGUAAUGGAUUUGGACCGCCGGGUUAUCUGUCUGGCCAAAGUUUCAUCCUCUGGUAACUCGCCCCGGUUUAUAUACGCCAGAUACGGAACCGUCCAAUCCGGGAUAAUAUGUAGAGCUACCACCAACUGAGCCUCCGGAUCAGGAACAGCCAAAUCCUCUUCACCAUGGAGCUUGACGGACGGAUUAUGCAAAACGUCCAGAAAAACAUUAGGUGGAACCGGUUUACGUUGGGAACCCAGGCGGCUUAAAGCGUCUGCCGCUUCAUUCUUCCGCCGGUCCACAUGAUCCACCUGAUAACCUUUGAAGUGACCUGCAACAAUAUCCACCUCACGACGAUAUGCUGCCAUCAGUGGGUCCUUGGAAUCCCAACUGCCAGACACUUGUUGAGCCACCAGAUCCGAGUCACCGAAGCAUUUAACUCGGCUGAGAUUCAUCUCCUUAGCCAUCCGUAGACCAUGGAGUAAGGCCUCAUAUUCAGCUGCAUUAUUAGUGCAAGGGAACAUUAAACGGAGAACAUAACAAAACUUAUCACCUCGUGGGGAAGUUAACACGACUCCAGCCCCCGAGCCCUCCAAUUGCCUGGACCCAUCAAAAUAAAUAGUCCAAUAAGUGUGAUCCGGCUUCUCUUCUGGCGCUUGUAAUUCUGUCCAAUCAUUGAUGAAAUCCACAAGUGCCUGAGAUUUGAUCGCCGUUCGGGGUAUGUAUUUCAACCCGUGAGGCCCGAGCUCGAUAGCCCACUUAGCAAUUCGACCAGUUGCCUCGCUAUUCUGGAUUAUAUCCCCCAAAGGAGCAGAGCUGACCACCGUGAUGGGAUGACCUUGGAAAUACUGCUUAAGCUUCCGGCUUGCCAUGAAAACCCCAUACACCAAUUUUUGCCAAUGCGGGUACCUCUGCUUGGAUACAAUGAGUACCUCACUAAUAUAGUAAACCGGCCGCUGAACCGGAUAUUCCUUUCCUGCCUCCUUGCGCUCCACCACAAUAGCCACACUAACAGCCCGAGCGUUAGCUGCCACAUAUAGCAGCAACGGUUCUUUAUCAACCGGAGCAGCGAGAAUCGGCGGAUUAGCUAGCUGUUGCUUUAAGUCCUCAAAUGCUUCAUUAGCGGCGUCACUCCAGAUGAAGUUAUCCGUUUUCUUCAGCAUCUGAUACAAAGGAAUGGCCUUCUCACCAAGACGACUGACAAACCGGCUUAACACGGCAAUCCGGCCUGCCAGGCGUUGAACAUCUUUGACACACUUUGGUUUAGCCAAGGAGGUGAUGACCUUGAUCUUUUCCGGAUUAGCUUCAAUGCCCCUGUUAGACACCAAAAAACCCAAGAGCUUGCCUGCAGGUACACCAAAGACGCACUUGGCCGGAUUAAGCAUCAUUUUAUAAACCCGCGGGUUAUCAAAGGUUUCCUUCAAGUCAUCAAUCAAUGUCUCCUUUUUCCUUGAUUUCACCACAAUAUCAUCCACAUAGGCGUGAACAUUGCGGCCGAUCUGUUUAUGAAGACAAUUCUGCACACACCGUUGAUAAGUUGCCUGUGCACUCUUGAGCCCAAAGGGCAUGGACACAUAGCAGAAGGCUCCAAAGGGAGUUAUGAAGGCCGUCUUCUCCUGGUCCUUAACUGCCAUCUUGAUCUGAUGAUAACCAGAAUAUGCAUCCAAAAAACUUAACCGCUCACAACCCGCCGUAGCAUCAAUAAUCUGAUCAAUACGGGGGAGGGCAAAAGGAUCUGCUGGACAAGCUUUGUUGAGAUCUGUGUAGUCCACACACAUACGCCAAGUGCCAUUCUUCUUGAGGACCAGCACCGGAUUAGCCAACCACUCAGGAUGGAAUACUUCAACAAUAAAUCCAGCCGCCAAGAGCCUGGCUACUUCUUCUCCAAUAGCUUUGCGUCUUUCUUCAUUGAACCGGCGGAGAAACUGCUUGACCGGUUUAUACUUAGGAUCAACAUUGAGGGCGUGCUCAGCGAGUUCUCUCGGUACACCAGACAUGUCAGAAGGCUUCCAUGCAAAGAUGUCCCGAUUCUCACGGAUGAACUCGAUGAGCGCGCUUUCCUAUUUCGGAUCCAAGUUAGCGCUGAUGCUAAACUGCUUGGACGAAUCGCCCGGCACGAAGUCAACAAGUUUAGUCUCAUCAGCCAAUUUAAACUUCAGGGCCGGAUCAUGCUCCGCAGUUGGUUUCUUCAAUGAAGUCAUAUCUGCCGGAUCAACAUUGUCUUUGUAAAACUUCAACACCUCUGUUGCACAAACCGACUCAACAUAAGCCGCAUCACCUUCCUCACAUUCCAGGGCAAUCUUGCGGCUCCCAUGCAUGGUUAUAGUUCCCUUGUGACCCGACAUCUUGAGCUGUAGAUAGACAUAACAAGGUCGUGCCAUAAACUUAGCAUAAGAUGGCCGUCCAAAUAGGGCAUGAUACGGGCUUCUGAUUUUCACCACUUCAAAGGUCAAGGUUUCUGAUCUCGAGUCAUGCUCAUCUCCAAAAGCCACCUCCAGAGCUAACUUACCAACAGGAUAUGCCAACUUACCAGGCACCACACCAUGGAACACCGUAUUGGACGGUUUAAGAUUUUUAUCUGUUAGCCCCAUGCGACGGAAAGUUUCAUAAUAAAGGAUAUUGAUACUACUCCCUCCAUCCAUGAGUACCUUAGUGAAGUUAUAACCUCCCACCUGAGGUGCCACCACCAGAGCCAGAUGACCCGGAUUGUCAACCCGGGGUGGAUGAUUGUCUCUACUCCACACAAUGGGCUGCUCGGACCAGUGCAAAUAACGGGGCACCGCCGGUUCAACGGCAUUCACCAUCCCCUUAUGAAGCUUCUGAUCGCGCUUGUCCAAGCUAGUGGUGAAGACAUGAUACUGUCCGCUAUUCAACUGCUUCAGGUUGCUCUGGUAACACGACUGCUGCUACUGCUGAUUGCCCUGAUGAUUAUAGCCACCUUGGUUACCUUGAUUACUUUGAUUGUUGUGUCCACCCUGAUUGCCAUGGAAUCCCGAACCGGAAUUUCCUCCGCCAUAACCCGGCCCAUGAGAGCCAGAGCCCGAACCGCCUCCUGAUCCAUGAUCAUACCGGAAAGAGUCAGAAUUUUUGAACUCUUGCAUGAUAUAAUAAUCUUUCCAGAGGUGUGUAGAUGGUUCCUCCUUCGUCCCAUGCUUUGGACAGGGCUGGUUCAACAGAUACGACAAACGGUCCGGAUUAGGAUUCGGCAUUCCAUUCCGCCGGGGCGGUUUACCCUUACGCCGCUGGCCCUUGUCGUGCGUAUUAGUGUUAGCCACAAAGUCUAAACCGUGGUCCGCUUUACGCUUGCCGCCGUUUCCAUGACCCGCCGGGUUGUGGUGCUGCCCCUUGGCGUUGCCGCUCCUCUUUCCCUUCCAUGUCUUGUCAUCGUCAGACUCGGGAUCCUUGGUACUAUCAGAGUCGGCAUACUUCACCAGUGCAGUCAUGAGGGUUCCCAUGUCAUUACAAUGACGUUUGAGCCGUCCCGACUUCAACUUCAAGGGCUGAAACCGGCAAUUGCCUUCCAAUGUUAAAACUGCGAUGUCAGCGUUGAUGCGGUCUGAUGAAUGCAAAAUCUCCGAAACCCGGUGCACCGAAUGGGUUGUUGACUCUCCUUCCUCGUGGACACAGGCAGCUAAGUCCACAAUUUACAUGGGCUGCUUGCAUGUAUCCUUGAAAUUCUGAACAAACCGGGCUCUCAACUCAGCCCAUGACCUGAUAGAAUUAGCCGGUAAACUCUUUAGCCAAGUGCGGGUCGUUCCUUCUAGCAUCAUGGUGAACUACUUCGCACAUUCCGCAUCAUCCACGUCCAGCAUCUCCAUGGCCAUCUCAUAGCUUACAACCCAUGUUUCAGGGGAUAAAUCAGCGGUGUAAUUCGGCACCUUGCGCGGGCCCUUGAAAUCUUUGGGCAGGCGCACAUUACGCAACGCCGGGACAAGACAUGGCACUCCCAAGGAACUAGAGGUAACUCCUGGUUCCACCGAUGUGGUUGGACGAACCGGAGUAAGCUGACGGGCCUCGUGCUGCGCUGCUAACUCGGCCUCUCUGCGUGCCCGAGCCCGGUCCACCACAUCCUGAGCAUCACCGGCACCACCCGCCGGGUUAUGGCCACGGGGCGGAUCACGGUUCCGCGCAUUGCUUGACACUGCCGGUUCAUCCAUACUCCUGCUGUAACUCCGGCUUGGACGGGGAGUGGAAUGAAUCCGAUCGCGACUAUAUGAAUAAGCCUCCUGUUGAAUCAAGGCUGUCUGAAGAAGCUCCUUAACCCGACGCGUCUCGACCGCUGCUGGAGAAUCGCCUUCGAUCGGGAUGGCCGCCAAUCGUGAAGCGGCAGCGACAAUGUUGUCCAUUGGGUUAGAAUAAUGACCCGGUGGUGUGGGGACAUGAGGUACCACAACGUUGUUCUGACGAGGCGGAUCCACCAAACGUGGCUGAACCGGCGCCCCUGCUCCGGGUGCCUCUGCCCGGUUUACCACGGCGGAUUACUGGUUCCUGCCCCUGGGGUGUUAAAGAGAUUUCUAGCGUCGUAAACCGACGGCAGGCGAGAUCGGUGCCUCCUCUUCAGGACUUCGUUCGACGCACUCUGAUCUAGCAUAAUCCGGUAAGCUUGUGCAUCCAAAGCGGCCCGCUCCGCGGCUAUCCAGGUAUCCUCAGCUGCUAAGUCGGCUUUUGCCUGGGUGAUCUGAUCUUUCACUUUCGCGAUUUCUGCAUUGUGUACAUCCUGAUCCGCCGGGUUAACCUCUGCCAUCAGCGUUGCCAACACAUCAAACAAAUCAGAUAGAACUUGAGUUGGCAGUCGCACAGGGCCUCCUGCCCCAGCCGCUACCGCCGCUGCUGACCCGGAAAUCAUCGCCGCUGCGGUUGAAGAGUGGAGCGCUGGUUGCGUGCCGGCCAUGAAGAUCGCCACCCGGUUUGGCAGAUCGAAGGGGUCCGGAAUACUGUCGCCAUCGGAACAGUCCCCAAUCCGGCCAUCUUGUAACUGAUAUAACGACUUGGUCUCUCCAGUCGAUGACUCGUCGCCGGAAUAAACGACGGUCUCACCACCAGAUUCCGAUCUAUCCUCAGAUUCACCUCCAUGGAUAACUCCCACGAAGGCACGCUUCAUGACAGGCUUGACCCGGGCAGAUCUCGCACGCUGAGCCGUUUCGACGAGGUCGGUGCAGAUGUCCGGCUCAGGGCCCGGUUCACCGAUCUUGCCAAUGAAAAUGUGUAUGCCACCAAAGGGGACCCGGUACCCAUACUCGAUUGAGCCGGCCUCGGGGCCCCAGCCUGCAUCGUCGAUGUAGAGCUUGCCGCGAUGACUCUUGGUCAUCCGGCCCACAACGUAACCCUUGAGUCCUUCGAAGCUGCCCUCCAAGAACUUGAAACCAUCGUGUGAUUGCCCCACAGUGGGCGCCAACUGUCGUGGUUUUGUCACACCAGAUGUCCUAGAGAAAGGACUUAGUCAUGGAGCCAUCGCUAUGGGUUAGCUCGAAGGGGUUAAAGCGGACAAGGGACGCAAGAGAUUUUUAUACUAGUUCGGCCCCUUCGAUGAAGGUAAAAGCCUACGUCUAGUUGUGAUGGAAUUGAUGGGGUUUUGAUGACCAGGGAGCGAAUACGCUUUGCCUGAGUCUCGAGUUGUUGUCUGUUCUUCCUGAACCGCCGCCGGGUCGUCCCCUUAUAUACAUGGGUUGACGCCUGUCGGUUUACAGACUCCGAGGCCGGCUCAUAAUCGUGUCCGGCUUGGUCUCUGCUACGCAUAUCUUACAACACAAGUUUACAUCUCAAUGCCGGUUUGUGUCCACAUGCCUUAAACCGGCUUUGGGCCCUGGGCCUCCAUGAAGCGUCAUCGUCUGUCUUCAUGGGCUUCAGAUACAGAUGAACUACUUAUGAAGUUAACCCGGCCUCUCCUGGCCGGUUUACGCCCAGUGGUAAUAUCCCCAACAACGAGUGAUCGACAUUGGUUGACGAACCAAUUGUCGAGGAGAAUAGGGCGAAGAGAGUUUAUCUUCUAUGUUAAAUAAUAACCCCUCCAACCAGACGUAGUCCUUGUGAAGAAGGACGAACUGGUCUACCAAAUUCCUUGUCGCCAUCGAGCAUCACUGGUUACCUUUGCUUCUCCUCUUUACAUUCGAAUUGUUUCAAUCAUGUGAUUUGUCUCGAUGCAUGCUUUUAGUUUCCAUUUGUUAGCUUGUAUUCGCUCGUUGUACACUGUUUUCAUUCGCUCCGCUGCUGGGUUCCGAGAGUUUUGAGAUUUCCGAAGAAAUUUUAAAACUCCCAUUCACCCCCCCCCCCUCUGGUACACAUACUUCGUUCCUACAGGCUUGCUGGAGAAAGGGCCAUUUGACCUUCUCAUACGCUUUCUCAAAGUCCACUUUGAAUAUAACACCAUCUAGUUUCUUCGUGUCGAUUUCAUGGAGAGUUUCAUGUAAGACGACAACCCCUUCGAGGAUGUGUCGUCCUGGCAUGAACGCGGUUUGGGUUGGUUGAACUACUGAAUGAGCUAUCCGUGUUAACCUAUUCAUGCCAACCUUGGUAAAGAUCUUGAAGCUUACAUUGAGAAGACAGAUCGGCCUGAAUUGCUCAAUGCCAAUUGCCUCCACCUUCUUUGGCAACAACGUUAGUGUUCCAAAAUUUAAGUGGAAUAACUGUAAGUGACCAUCAAACAAGUCCUGGAACAAAGGCAUAAGAUCUCCCUUGAUGAUAUACCAACACCGCUUAUAAAAUUCCGUCGGGAACCCAUCCAGUCCAGGGGCUUUAUUUUGUUUCAUUUGUGAUAUUGCAUCAAACACCUCUUUCUCAGUGAAAGGAGCAGACAGCACCUCAUUCUCGUCGGAGCUAAGCUAAGGUAUGUCCCCGAUCUCGCUCUCAUCUAGGGAUAUAGAAUUUUCAUAUGUUGCUCCGAAAAUCUUCUUAUAAUAACUGGAGAUGUACAGUUUGAGGUUCUCAUGCCCUACAAUCGUACCCUCAUCUUGUUCAAGUUGAAUAAUUUUCUUUUUCCUAUGUCUCCCAUUAGCUAUGAGAUGAAAUAAUUGGGUAUUAUCAUCCCCUUGGACUAUCUUAGAUACCUUCGCUCUAACUGCCCAUUUCAUCUCCUCUUCUCGCAGAAGAGCUUGUAACUUCUUCUCCGCCUCAUUCUUAAUAUUCCAGUCAGACAUAUGAAGAAGUGAGGUUUCCGAUCUCAAAUCAAGCUCAUUAAUAAUUUGUAUCAGUCUUCUUUUCUACUUUAUAUAAACCACUUUGAUUCUUGGCCCAUCCUCUCAAGAAUUGGCGCAAGUGUCUAAUCUUGUUUUGCCAUCUAUCAAUAUUUGAUAUCCCACCCGACUCCUUGGCCCAUUCGGCUGCAAUGAGAUCAAGGAAGCCUUCCCUUUCAAACCAUCCUAAUUCAAAAGAGAAAUUUUUUCUGUUGCCCACAUGUGUCGCUUCCCCCAGAAUCGACCAAUAGUGGAGUGUGAUCAGAAAUAGCCCUUUGUAGGGCAUGAACCGUUACCAAAGGAAAUUUCUGUUCCCACUCAACACUAGUGAGAACCCGGUCUAAUUUCUCAUAAGUAGGUACUGGUAAAGAAUUAGCCCAUGUGAAUUGUCUCCCACUAAGGUCAAUCUCCCUCAAAUCAAGACUUUCAAUGAUUGUAUUAAACAUGAAUGACCAUCUCCCAUCGAAAUUGUUAUUAUUUUUUCGUCUUGUCUUCUAAUUAUAUUGAAGUCUUCCCCCCACCAAAAUGGGAAGUCUUUCAUCACCACAAAUUCUCACCAGAUCCGCUAGGAAAUCCAGUUUGAGCUCUGGCUGGGCCGCACCAUAUACAGCCACCAAAGCCCAUCUGAAGCCAUCAACUUUCGACCGUACUCAAAAUUUGACGAUAAAAUCUCUAUAAACCACAUUUAACACUUCUAAAGAUUCGCACUUCACCCCGAGUAGGAUCCCACAGGACCGACCCCUUGGAGGUAGAACGUGCCAGUCAAAAUCAACCCCACUGGAAAUUGUGUUUAGGAAUUACAAAGUGUAAUUAUCUCUUCAUGUUUCUAAUAGAGCCAUAAAAUCCAAUUUAUGCUCUAUCGCGGUUUCUUGACAUGGCUUGAGACAGCGUUGGUAUUUCCCCAAAGAGGAAGGGAUGAUGCAGCAUAGCUACGGUAAGUAUUUCCCUCAGUUAUGAAACCAAGGUAUCAAUCCAGUAGGAGAACCAAACAACACUAUUUAAACGGUACCUGCACACAAAGAACAAAUACUUGCAACUCGACGCGUAAGUGUUGGGGAACGUAGCAUGCAAUUUCAAAAAAAUUCCUACGAUCACGCAAGAUCUAUCUAGGAGAUACAUAGCAACGAGAGGGGAAGAGUGUGUCCACGUACCCUCGUAGACCGAAAGCGGAAGUGUUAGCCUAACGCGGUUGAUGUAGUCGAACGUCUUCGUGAUCCAACCGAUCAAGCACCGACAUACGGCACCUCCGAGUUCUGCACACGUUCAGCUCGAUGACGUCCCUCGAACUCUUGUUCCAGCAAAGUGUCGAGGGAGAAUUUCUUCAGCACGACGGUGUGGUGACGGUGAUGGUGAUGUGAUCCGCGCAGGGCUUCGCCUAAGCACUACGACAAUAUGGACGGAGGAGUAAACUGUGGAGGGGACACCGCACAUGGCUAAGAGAACAAUUGAUGUGCUUUGGGGUGCCCCCCUGCCCCUGUAUAUAAAGGAUGAGAGGGAGGAGGCCGGCCAUAGGGGGGAACCGACUUGGACUCCUAGUCCUAUUCGCCCCCCCCCCCCCCCCCCAAUUCCUUCUUACAGAGGGGGGAAGGGGGAAGGAGAGGAGAGGGAGAAGGAAAGGGGGGCCGCGUCCCCUCCCCUUGUCCUAUUCGGACUCCCCUUGGGGGGAGCUCCACCCCCUUGUAGGCUGCCCUCUCUCUCCCCUAUGGCCCAUGAGGCCCAAUACUUUCCCCGGGGGGUUCCGGUAACCCCUCGGUACUCCGAUAAAUAUCCGAAACACUCCGAAACCAUUCCGUGUCCGAAUACUAUCGUCCGAUAUAUCAAUAUUUACCUCUCGACCAUUUCGAGGCUCCUCGUCAUGUCCGUGAUCUCAUCCGGGACUCCGAACAAUCUUCGGUCACCAAAACACAUAACUCAUAAUACAAAUCGUCAUCGAACAUGUAAGCGUGCAGGCCCUACGGGUUCGAGAACUAUGUAGACAUGACCGAGAAAUAUCUCCGGUCAAUAACCAAUAGCGGAACCUGGAUGCUCAUAUUGGUUCCUACCUAUUCUACGAAGAUCUUUAUCGGUCAAACCGCAAUGACAACAUACAUUAUUCCCUUUGUCAUCGGUAUGUUACUUGCCUGAGAUUCGAUCGUUGGUAUCCUCAUACCUAGUUCAAUAUCGUUACCGGCAAGUCUCUUUACUCGUUCCGUAAUGCAUCAUCCCGCAACUAACUCAUUAGUCACAUUACUUGCAAGGCUUAUCGUGAUGUGCAUUACCGAGAGGGCCCAGAGAUACCUCUUCGAUACUCGGAGUGGCAAAUCCUAAUCUUGAUCUAUGCCAACCCAACAAACACCUUCGGAGACACUCGUAGAGCAUCUUUAUAAUCACCCAGUUACGUUGUGACGUUUGAUAGCACACAAGGUGUUCGUGCGGUAUUCGGGAGUUGCAUAAUAUCAUAGUCAUAGGAAUAUGUAUAAGUCAUGAAGAAAGCAAUCACAAUAAAACUUAAUGAUCAGUAUGCUAAGCUAACGGAUGGGUCUUGUCCAUCACAUCAUUCUCUAAUGAUGUGAUCCCGUUCAUCAAAUGACAACACAUGUCUAUGGUCAGGAAACUUAACCAUCUUUGAUUAACGAGCUAGUCAAGUAGAGGCAUACUAGGGACACUUUUUUUUGUCUAUGUAUUCACACAUGUAUCAAGUUUCUGGUUAAUAUAAUUCUAGCAUGAAUAAUAAACAUUUAUCAUGAUAUAAGGAAAUAUAAAUAACAACUUUAUUAUUGCCUCUAGGGCAUAUUUCUUUCAGUCUCCCACUUGCACUUGAAUCAAUAAUCUAGAUUACAUUGUAAUGAUUCUAACACCCAUGGAGUCUUGGUUUUGAUCAUGUUUUGCUCAUGGAAGAGGCUUACUCAAUGGGUUUGCAACAUUCAGAUCCGUAUGUAUUUUGCAAAUCUCUAUGUCUCCCUCCUUGACUUGAUCACGGAUGGAGUUGAAGCGUCUCUUGAUGUGUUUGGUUCUCUUGUGAAAUCUGGAUUCCUUCGCUAAGGCAAUUGCUCCAGUAUUGUCACAAAAGAUUUUCAUUGGACCUGAUGCACUAGGUAUUACACCUAGAUCGGAUAUGAACUCCUUCAUCCAGACUCCUUCAUUUGCUGCUUCCGAAGCAGCUAUGUACUCCGCUUCACACGUAGAUCCCGCCACGACGCUUUGCUUGGAACUGCACCAACUGACAGCUCCACCAUUCAAUAUAAAUACGUAUCCGGUUUGCGACUUAGAUUCAUCCGGGUCAGUGUCAAAACUAGCAUCGACGUAACCAUUUAUGACGAGCUCUUUGCCACCUUCAUAAACGAGAAACAUAUCCUUAGUCCUUUUCAGGUAUUUCAGGAUGUUCUUGACCGUUGUCCAAUGAUCCACUCCUGGAUUACUUUGGUACCUCCAUACUAAACUUAUAGCAAAGCACACAUCAGGUCUGGUACAUAGCAUUGCAUACAUGAUAGAACCUAUGGCUGAGGCAUAGGGAAUGACUUUCAUUUUCUCUCUAUCUUCUACAGUGGUCGGGCAUUGAGUCUGACUCAACUUCACACCUUGUAACACAUGCAAGAACCAUUUUUUGACUGAUCCAUUUUGAACUUCUUCAAAACGUUAUGAAGGUAUGUGCUUUGUGAAAGUCCAAUUAAGCGUCUUGAUCUAUCCCUAUAGAUCUUGAUGCCCAAUAUAUAAGCAGCUUCACCGAGGUCUUUCUUUAAAAAAUUCUUAUUCAAGUAUCCUUUUAUGAUAUCCAGAAAUUCUAUAUCAUUUCCAAUCAACAAUAUGUCAUCCACAUAUAAUAUUAGAAAUGCUACAGAGCUCCCACUCACUUUCUUGUAAAUACAGGCUUCUCCAAAAGUCUGUAUAAAACCAUAUGCUUUGAUCACACUAUCAAAGCGUAUAUUCCAACUCUGGGAGGCUUGCACCAGUCCAUAAAUGGAUCGCUGGAGCUUGCACACUUUGUUAGCACCUUUAGGGUCGACAAAACCUUCUGGUUGCAUCAUAUAAAACUCUUCUUUAAGAAAUCCAUUAAGGAAUGCAGUUUUCACAUCCAUUUGCCAAAUUUCGUAAUCAUAAAAUGCGGCAAUUGCUAACGUGAUUCAGACAGACUUAAGCAUCGCUACGAGUGAGAAGGUCUCAUCGUAGUCAACUCCUUGAACUUGUCGAAAACCUUUCGCAACAAGUCGAGCUUUGUAGAUAGUAACAUUACCAUCAACGUCAGUAUUCUUCUUGAAGAUCCAUUUAUUUUCUAUGGCUUGCCGAUCAUCGGGCAAGUCAACCAAAGUCCAUACUUUGUUUUCAUACAUGGAUCCCAUCUCAGAUUUCAUGGCCUCAAGCCAUUUCGCAGAAUAUGGGCUCAUCAUCGCUUCCUCAUAGUUCGUAGGUUCAUCAUGGUCUAGUAACAUGACUUCCAGAACAAGAUUACCGUACCACUCUGGUGCGGAACGUACUCUGGUUGACCUACGAGGUUCGGUAGUAACUUGAUCUGAAGUUUCAUCAUCAUCAUCAUUAACUUCCUCACUAAUUGGUGUAGGCAUCACUGGAACUGAUUUCUGUGAUGAACUACUUUCCAACUCGAGAGAAGGUACAAUUACCUCAUAAAGUUCUACUUUCCUCCCACUCACUUCUUUUGAGAGAAACUCCUUCUCUAGAAAGGAUUCAUUCUUAGCAACAAAUAUCUUGCCUUCGGAUCUGUGAUAGAAGGUGUACCCAACAGUUUCUUUUGGGUAUCCUAUGAAGACGCACUCCUCCGAUUUGGGUUCGAGCUUAUCAGGCUGAAGCUUUUUCACAUAAGCAUCGCAACCCCAAACUUUAAGAAACGACAGAUUAGGUUUCUUGCCAAACCACAGUUCAUAUGGUGUGGUCUUAGCGGAUUUAGAUGAUGCCCUAUUUAACGUGAAUGCAGUCGUCUCUAAUGCAUAACCCUAAAACGAUAGUGGUAAAUUGGUAAGAGACAUCAUAGAUCACACCAUAUCAAAUAAAGUACAGUUACGACGUUCGGACACACCAUUACGCUGUGGUGUUCUAGGUGGCGUGAGUUGUGAAACUAUUCCACAUUGUUCCAAAUGAAGACCAAACUCGUAACUCAAAUAUUCACCUCCGCGAUCAGAUCAUAGAAACUUUAUUUUCUUGUUACGAUGAUUUUCCACUUCACUCUGAAAUUCUUUGAACUUUUCAAAUGUUUCAGACUUAUGUUUCAUUAAGUAGAUAUACCCAUAUCUGCUCAAAUCAUCUGUGAAGGUCAGAAAAUAACGAUACCCGCCGCGAGCCUCAACACUCAUCGGACCGCAUACAUCAGUAUGUAUUAUUUCCAAUAAGUCAGUGGCUCGCUCCAUUGUUCCGGAGAACGGAGUCUUAGUCAUCUUGCCCAUGAGGCAUGGUUCGCAAGAAUCAAGUGAUUCAUAAUCAACAGAUUCCAAAACCCCAUCUGCAUGGAGUUUCUUCAUGCACUUUACACCAAUAUGACCUAAACGGCAGUGCCACAAAUAAGUUGCACUAUCAUUAUUAACUUUGCAUCUUUUGGCAUCAAUAUUAUGAAUGUGUGUAUCACUACGAUUGAGAUUCAACAAAAAUAGACCACUCAUCAAGGGUGCAUGACCAUAAAAGAUAUUACUCAUAUAAAUAGAACAACCAUUAUUCUCUGAUUUAAAUGAAUAACCGUCUCGCAUCAAACAAGAUCCAGAUAUAAUGUUCAUGCUCAACGCUGGCACCAAAUAACAAUUAUUUAGGUCUAAAACUAAUCCCGAAGGUAGAUGUAGAGGUAGCGUGCCGACGGCGAUCACAUCGACCUUGGAACCAUUUCCGACGCGCAUCGUCACCUCGUCCUUAGCCAAUCUUUGUUUAAUCUGUAGCCCCUAUUUCGAGUUGCAAAUAUGAGCAACAGAACCAGUAUCAAAUACCCAGGCGCUACUACGAGCAUUGGUAAGGUACACAUCAAUAACAUGUAUAUCAAAUAUACCUUCCACUUUUCUAUCCUUCUUAUCCGCCAAAUACUUGGGGCAGUUCCGCUUCGAGUGACCAGUCCCUUUGCAGUAGAAGCACUCAGUUUCAGGCUUAGGUCCAGACUUGGGCUUCUUCCCGGGAGCAGCAACUUGCUUGCUAUUCUUCUUGAAGUUCCCCUUCUUACCUUUGCCCUUCUUCUUAAAACUAGUGGUCUUAUUAAUCAUCAACACUUGAUGCUCCUUCGUGAUUUCUACCUCGGCGGCCUUAAGCAUUGUGAAGAGCUCGGGAAUUGUCUUUUCCAUCCCUUGCAUAUUAUAGUUCAUCACGAAGCCUUUGUAGCUUGGUGGCAGUGAUUGAAGAACUCUGUCAAUAACACUAUCAUCCGAAAGAUUAACUCCCAGCUGAGUCAAGUGGUUAUGGUACCCAGACAUUCUGAGUAUGCGUUCACUGACAGAACUGUUCUCCUCCAUCUUGCAGCUAUAGAACUUGUUGGAGACUUCAUUUCUCUCAACUGAGGCAUUUCCUUGAAAUAUUAACUUCAACUCCUGGAACAUCUCAUAUGCUCCAUGACGUUCAAAACGUCUUUGAAGUCCCGAUUCUAAGCCGUAAAGUAUGACACACUGAAUUAUCGAGUAGUCAUCAGAUUUAGCUUGCCAGACGUUCAUAACGUCCGGAGUUGCUCCUGUAGCAGGCCUUGCACCUAGCGGUGCUUCAAGGACGUAAUUCUUCUGUGCAGCAAUGAGGAUAAUCCUCAAGUUACGGACCCAGUCCGUGUAGUUUCUACCAUCAUCUUUCAACUUAGCUUUCUCUAGGAACCCAUUAAAAUUCAAGGGAACGGUAGCACGGGCCAUUGAUCUACAACAUAGAUAUGCAAAAACUAUCAGGACUAAGUUCAUGACAAAUUUAAGUUCAAUUAAUCAUAUUACUAAAGAACUCCCACUUAGAUAGACAUCCCUCGAGUCAUCUAAAUGAUCACGUGAUCCAUAUCAACUAAACCAUGUCCGAUCAUCACGUGAGAUGGAGUAGUUUUCAAUGGUGAACAUCUCUAUGUUGAUCAUAUCUACUAUAUGAUUCAAGUUUGACCUUUCGGUCUCAGUGUUCUGAGGUCAUGUCUGUACAUGCUAGGCUCGUUAAGUUUAACCCGAGUAUUCCGCACGUGCAAAACUGUCUUGCACCCGUUGUAUGUGAAUGUAGAGCUUAUCACACCUGAUCAUCACGUGGUGUCUUGGCACGACGAACUAUCGCAACGGUGCAUACUCAGGGAGAACACUUAUACCUUGAAAUUUAGUGAGGGAUCAUCUUAUAAUGCUACCGCCGUACUAAGCAAAAUAAGAUGCAUAAAAGAUAAACAUCACAUGCAAUAAAAAAUAUGUGACAUGAUAUGGCCAUCACCAUCUUGUGCCUUUGAUCUCUAUCUCCAAAGCACCGUCAUGAUCUCCAUCAUCACCGGCUUGACACCUUGAUCUCCAUCGUAGCGUUGUUGUCGUCUCGCCAACUAUUGCUUCUACAACUAUCGUUACUGCAUAGUGAUAAAGUAAAGCAAUUACAUGGCGAUUGCAUUUCAUACAAUAAAGCGACAACCAUAAGGCUCCUGCCAGUUGCCGAUAACUUUUACAAAACAUAAUCAUCUCAUACAAAAACGUAUAUCACAUCAUGUCUUGACCAUAUCACAUCACAACAUGCCCUGCAAAAACAAGUUAGACAUCCUCUAGUUUGUUGUUGCAAGUUUUACAUGGCUGCUACGGGCUUCUAGUAAGAACCGUUCUUACCUACGCAUCAAAACCACAACGAUUUUUUGUCAAGUGUGUUGUUUUAACCUUCAACAAGGACCGGUCGUAGUCAAAUUCGAUUCAACUAAAGUUGGAGAAACAGACACCCGCCAGCCACCUUUAUGCAAAACAAGUUGCAUGUUUGUCGGUGGAACCGGUCUCAUGAACAUGGUCAUGUAAGGUUGGUCCGGGCCGCUUCAUCUAACAAUACCGCCAAAUCAAAAUAAGACAUUGGUGGUAAGCAGUAUGACUAUGAUCGCCCACAACUCUUUGUGUUCUACUCGUGCAUAUCAUCUACGCAUAGACAUGGCUCGGAUGCCACUGUUGGGGAACGUAGCAUGCAAUCUCAAAAAAAUCCCUACGAUCACGCAAGAUCUAUCUAGGAGAUGCAUAGCAACGAGAGGGGAAGAGUGUUCCAUGUACCCUCGUAGACCGAAAGCGGAAACGUUAGCUUAACGCAGUUUAUGUAGUCGAACGUCUUCGCGAUCCAACCGAUCAAGCACCGAAUAUACGGCACCUCCGAGUUCUGCACACGUUCAGCUCAAUGACGUCCCUCGAACUCUUGAUCCAGCAAAGUGUCGAGGGAGAAUUUCGUCAGCACGACGGCGUGGUGAUGGUGAUGGUGAUAUGAUUCGCGCAGGGCUUCGCCUAAGCACUACGACAAUAUGACCGGAGGAGUAAACUGUGGAGGGGGGCACCGCACACGGCUAAGAGAACAAUUGACGUGCUUUGGGGUGCCCCCCUGCCCCCGUAUGUAAAGGAGGAGAGGGAGGAGGCCGGCCCUAGGGGCGCGCCAUGGGGGGCACCGACUUGGACUCCUAGUCCUAGUCGCCUCCCCCCUUCCUUCUUACGGAGGGGGAAGGAGAGGAGAGGGAGAAGGAAAGGGGGCUGCGCCCCCUCCCCUUGUCCUACUCAGACUCCCCUUGGGGGAUCCGGCUUGCCUGCUCCCUUCCCAUGCUCCCAUCCGUGCUCCCACCUCAUCCUACGUCUGUCUUUUUUUCCUUUUUCCUUUCUAAUCUAAUCAUAUCCCCCCCUGAUUUUAAGGGGGUGGGGCCGGGCCUUAUUUUGUUCCAAUCAAAUUAAGCCACGUAUGCGGGAGCACAGAUGGGAGCAUGGGAAGGGAGAAGGUAAGUCUCGUCCCCCUUGGGGGGCAUGCGCCACCCCCUUGUGGGCUGCCCUCUCUCUCCCCUAUGGCCCAUGAUGCCCAAUACUUUCCCCGGGGGGUUCCGGUAACCCCUCGGUACUCCGAUAAAUAUCCGAAACGCUCUAAAACCAUUCCGGUGUCCGGAUACUAUCGUCCAAUAUAUCAAUCUUUACCUCUCGACCAUUUCGAGGCUCCUCGUCAUGUCUGUGAUCUCAUCUGGGACUCCGAACAAUCUUCGGUCACCAAAAUACAUAACUCAUAAUACAAAUCGUCAUCGAACGUUUAAGCGUGCGGACCCUACGGGUUCGAUAACUAUGUAGGCAUGACCGAGACAUAUCUCUGGUUAAUAACCAACAGUGGAACCUGGAUGCUCAUAUUGGUUCCUACAUAUUCUACGAAGAUCUUUUCCGGUCAAACCGCAAUGAAAACAUACGUUAUUCCCUUUGUCAUCGGUAUGUUACUUGCCCGAGAUUCGAUCGUCGGUAUCCUCAUACCUAGUUCAAUCUCGUUACUGACAACUCUCUUUACUCGUUCAUUAAUGCAUCAUCCCGCAACUAACUCAUUAGUCACAUUGCUUGUAAGGCUUAUCGUGAUGUGCAUUACCGAGAGGGCCCAGAGAUACCUCUCUGAUACUCGGAGUGACAAAUCCUAAUCUCGAUCUAUGUCAACCCAACAAACACCUUCGGAGACACCUGUAGAGCAUCUUUGUAAUCACCCAGUUAUGUUGUGAAGUUUGAUAGCACAGAAGGUGUUCCUCCGGUAUUCGGGAGUUGCAUAAUCUCAUAGUCAAAGGAAUAUGUAUAAGUCAUGAAGAAAGCAAUAGCAAUAAAACUUAACGAUCAUUAUGGUAAGCUAAUGGAUGGGUCUUGUCCAUCACAUCAUUCUCCUAAUGAUGUGAUCCCGUUCAUCAAAUGACAACACAUGUCUAUGGUCAGGAAACUUAACCAUCUUUGAUUAACGAGCUACUCAAGUAGAGGCAUACUAGGGACACUUUGUUUUGUCUAUGUAUUCACACAUGUAUCAAGUUUCCGGUUAAUACAAUUCUAGCAUGAAUAGUAUACAUUUAUCAUGAUAUAAGGAAAUAUAAAUAACAACUUUAUUAUUGCCUCUAGGGCAUAUUUCCUUCAGUAAGAGGGGUUGUCAAUCCCUCCACGGUAAAAAGAUAGAUUGUUUUGUAUGAUAUUGGAUAAAUAGAUCUGAAUAGAACACGAAAUAAAAUAAGUAAAGAAAAAGUGCAACAAGAUAUUUUUUGGUUUUUGGAAUAAUAGAUCUGAAAACAAAUACGAUAAAAGAUAGAUCUGAAAGCAAUGUGAUAAAAGAUAGACCCGGGGGCGUAGAUUUCACUAGUGGCUUCUCUCGAGAAAAUAGCAUACGGUGGGUAAACAAAUUACUGUUGGGCAAUUGAUAGAAGAACAAAUAAUUAUGAUGAUAUCCAAGGCAAUGAUCAUGAAUAUAGGCAUCGCAUCCAAGAUUAGUAGACCGAAAUGAUUCUACAUCUACUACUAUUACUCCACACAUCGACCGCUAUCCAGCAUGCAUCUAGUGUAUUAAAUUCAUGGAAAAACGGAGUAAUGCAAUAAGAACGAUGGCAUGAUGUAGACAAGAUAUAUUCAUGUAGGAAUAGACGCCAUUUUUUAUCCUUAAUAGCAACGGUACAUACGUGCCUCGCUACCCCUUCUGUCACUGGGUGAGGACACGUAAGAUCGAACCCAUCACAAAGCACCUCUUCCCAUUGCAAGAAAAAUCGAUCUAGUUGGCCUAACUAAACCAAAGAUUCGAAAAAGAAAUACGAGGCUAUAAAUAAUCGUGCAUAUAAGAGAUCAAAGAAAACUCAAAUAAUAUUCAUGGAUAUAGAUCUGAUCAUAAACUCAAAUUCAUCAUAUCCCAACAAACUCACCGCAAAAAGUCAUUACAUCAAAUAGAUCUCCAAGAAACCAUUGUAUUGAGAAUCAAAAAGAGAGAAGAAGCCAUCUAGCUACUACCUACGGACCCGUAAGUCUAUAGUGAACUACUCACGCAUCAUCGAAGGAGCACCAAUGAGGACGAUGAACCCCUCCAUGGUCGUGUUCCCCUCCAGUAGAGUGACGGAAUAGGGCUCUAGAUUGGAUCUCGUGGUUAUGGAACUUGCGGCGGCUGGAAUUGUGUUUCGUCGACUCCCCUAGGGUUUCUGGAAUAUUUGGGUAUUUAUAGAGCUGAGAGGCGGUGGAGGAGACCCCCGUGGGCCCCAUAACCCAUCAGGGUGCGCCAGGGGCCUCUGUCGCGCCUUGAUGUCUUGUGGGCCCCACGGGCCUCCCCCCAGGUGCUUCCUUGGCUCCCAAGUUGUCUUCUGGACCCAAAAAAUCUCCAAAAAGUUUCGCUGUGUUUGGACUCCGUUUGAUAGGGAUAUUCUGCGAAGUAAAAAAAACAAGCAAAAAAUAGCAAGUGGCACUGGGCACUAUGUCAAUAGGUUAGUCCCAAAAAAUGAUAUAAAGUUGCUAUAAAAUGAUUGUAAAACAUCCAAGAAUGAUAAUAUAACAGCAUGGAACAAUCAAAAAUUAUAGAUACGUUGGAGACGUAUCAUUUCUCUAAGGAAUCUUCUUUUAGCCAAGUCCGGUAGACCUCUGCUAUUCCAGAGAAUCCCUUUCAUAGAUCAUCGUGGAAUUAUUUUCUUUUGUUUAACUCUAGCACUUCUAUGCACUGCCGAUAUAGGAUAAACCUUCCUCUUCCAGGUUUUUUUUGGUUUAUCCUUCACCACCUCUGCGUCGUCAUGAUCAGUGGAAAUGGUAGAACUGACACCUGUUUGCAGAGGGGCGAUAUACCCCUCUGAAACCACAUCCUCAUCCUCGGUUUCUACUCCCUCUGUGGGAAUCAAAUCCUCACAUAGUGACUGUAAAGCGGUAACCCCAAACUUAUUAAUGUCUGAAUUAUUCAAAGGUUUGACUACUGCCAUAUUUUGAAUUAACUCUAUGGCUUUGUCCGCUUCUAAGUCUAACAAAUCAUUAAUGGAUUUGGUUGUUUCUUUGUCAUUGCUACCAAGAGAUAUCCCUUGGUUGUGGGUUUUAUCUAAAAUCUCAUGUUCAGAAAAGUGAAGAAUGGAACAACUAGUAUUUACCGACAUACGUGUAUUUGCUUCAAUAUCUCGAAGCUUGGCGGCCCUCAUCGCUCGCCCGAUCUGUAUGUCAUCGGCAUCAGGCUAAGACUGAAUCUGGUGACUAAAGCGCCUGCCCCCGGACGCAGGAUCCGGGAUCCCACCAAAAGCUAUCACCUCCUCCAUAGUCACUCCGUCCAAGCUUUGGCCGCCUACCAUGUGCCCAGCGACAGCAACCUUGGGAGAUAGCGUCGUAGACUCCUCUGGUGCAUCGUCCACCCUGCCGGUCGAUGCGCUGAAGUCAGACAGGAGGUCCCCCGCUCCAAACCGGGACGCCACCUCCUGUGGCGUGCCAGUCUGUCGUGAUGAUGAAGAUCUCAGGGUAGGGGAUGGCACAUCCGACCGACCGGCCGUGUAAGCCACCUCCUCCACAAGCGGUGGAGCAACCUCAAAAGACUGCCCAUCCCCCCUCUCAGCAGAAGUGUGCGGCAAAGAUAACGGGGAAGACGGAGUAGUCCCUUGGGUCUCCUGCCAGAUGUGAAUCACUUCCGCCUGCACCUGCUACUCAACCACCGAGUCUGUGGCUAUGAUGUCAUUCUCCACUUCCAUCUCCACUCGGUCACCAUAAGCGACUCGGUGCUGACAUCGCCUGAAACGAUCCAAAACACAGAGAAGUUGUGGGAGUGGAAGAAGGGGCCGACCCCUUAUCAGUCCUCGGCUGCGCCGACUAAGCGGGCUUUGUCGCCGGUAGAUUCUGUCCACCAAAAUCACCAGACUUCCCCUCCACCUCUUUGUUACCGUUGUCAUCACCACCGUCGGUCAUGUCCACAUCUUUACUUGUAGAGACAUUAUCUGUCGCAUGGCCCUCCUCAACCACAACCUGGAUAUCAUACGCCACUCCAUCAUACACCCACGGAACAGAAUCCGGAACAUACUCCGAAUCAAUAACACUAACUAGCAUCCUCGCAGUGCCAUGCAUACGGGUAAAAGGCAUAUCAACCUUCUCAGUUUUACCAAGCAAAGACCCGAGACUCCAAACAAUAAUGAAGUCAUUCAGCAGUUCCUCUGUUAUGCCUGGCAGUCUGACCCAGAUCUGCUCCAAUGGUGAUCCCGUCGGCUCUGGUUUUUUGCAUUUAUCGAACUCCAGAACACACUUGCUCCCAGUCACCUUGCUGAACCCAAACUUCAACAGACGAUCCAAGUCCUCCCUCCUGGGGAACUCAACUCUGUAUACCUAAUCAUCCACCAGAACAAGAGCCUAAUGGAAGGACUCCGAAACCAGCUGUCUGAGCUCCCGAGACACCUGUUCAUCUGUCAGUGUCCCCUUAGUCACCUUGACUAGACCGAACUUCGAGCACUCCCGGCGAGCGGUCACUGAGACCAUGCGUGGAGUUUCAAAGAACCUAAGCUUAUUGUUGCAAACACCAUAUAUAGUCACCACAGGCUUAGGAGCCGAAAGCAAAGCACAAUUAUCCGAUGAGUGCCCAGGUUUGAGGCAAAUGUCAGACAAGACCGUCAUGCAAUCAAUCACAAAGUGACCUGGCUCACCACAUUAAUAACAGCUCAUCUUUUCCUUCUUACGCGCCGCCUUAUUAGCACGCACCAUCUCUGCUUUAUCGCUACCUUUGUCACUUUGAGCAUAUCUGUCAUCUGUAGGUGUGGAUGUGGGAACAGACACCGAUGCCAAUGCCUUAACUGCCGCCGCCUCAGGCAGUGUUACAGAGGAAGAAGCGGCGACGUCCGCCGCUUUGGCCGCCCCGCUGCCAGUCCCCGCUGGCGGGAGUGUCAGCUUAGGAGCCGUUUUGGGCACAUAGGGGCGGCGCGGAGGUGGGUUACGACCGAACCCAGCACCCCCACCCCGACCACCUCUUUGGCGGUAGUGCGGUCCCGUGGCGCCUUCGACGAACUCGUCGGGUGGUGGGUUAAAGUUUCGCUGCCAUUGGUUUCCGACGAAGACGCGCCCUCCACUGUUGUUCCACUGAUUCCAUCCACGUCCAUCGUAUCCGCGGCCUCGCCUGCCGGGCAGGCGCCCCGGGAACCGCAGGCCUCCGAUCGAGUCUCCGGUCCGCGAGAUCGAUCGGAGUGCCAAGAUCCCUGCCACCACUUUCCCCGGCGCCCGUGCGGGCUUUCCCGGCGGUCGUCUCCGGUGGCGGCGAGGAAGGAAGGGGAGGCGGCGCGGUGGAUCCCUAAUCGCCCCCGAGUCGCCUGAUGGACGACACAAGGGCCGAUCGUGAAAGUCAGAUAGCAUUGUCGAUGUAGUCAGCAGAAAACCGAAAAUGAGCAUGAUGUUGUAUUAUGAAGAAACAACAAUAUUCAGAUUUGUUUCCUACUCCUUUUUAUCAUUUCGAAAGUAUACAGAUUAAAAUUGAUUUCUUUUCCUUUUCCUGUAAAUAGAUAUAAAACAACGAUUUUCAUAAAAGUAGCCGAUGCCCUUUAGGCCAUAAAAGGAAAUAUAAAUAAAAUUUGUGAGAUUUAAAACAUCAAAGCAAAAAGGUCCUCACGAAUAGCUGAAAAAAGAAAAGAAAGAAAACUCAAUCAUGCUAUAGCCACAGAUCUAGACACAAUAAGACAGUCUUGGAAAUCUAAAUUAAUUCAGAAUGAUGAUUCUCGAGGAAUAAAUAGGAUUUGAACUAUAUCAGUAGAGGUAAAUUUAUUGAAUUUUACUGUCUUGAAACUGCUACUCAUAUGAGCAACGCGAGUAAUCCCCAUCCUUUGUACCAGAGGUCAACUGAUGAUCUGAACAGAAGGGACCACAAAUGGACUUGUACGUAAACAGCUCGCCCCUAGACCAACCGCUACAUCUUCUCUCAUUUUAAAAUACACCGGCCCUACGCCGCGCCUCUACCUGCCAGUUAGCCAAUUCUGAUUAUGAAGCGAAGCGUUGUGCUAAUACACAGCAAAAUACAGAAUUCUGAUGUGCAAGGUUGGCUGGUGCAGAUAGCGGCAGUACCUGGGCUGGAGGCCCGUUUCGAAUUUGCCGACACAUACACACGAUCAAGCACGCAAAGACCGCGUUCCCACGCCGUCGAGGUGCGCAGCCUGGCACCAGACAACGACGCAUGCAGCCUUCGCACAGGCGAGGCGACCAUCGUCGGCGGUGGCGUCACGGGGCCGGGCGCGGGAACGCUACGCCCGCUUUUCACACACUGCUGCGUUCGGGACCAAACGAGCCAACAUCAUCGGCCACGGCGCUAUGAAUCGUGUCAGCCCAGUCACGAGCGCCGCGUGUGUCCCGCGCCCGGCCGCACACACAUCAGCGGGCCUUCUAGAACCAACUCGAUAUUACGGCCCAGACUCGCCGACGGGGUGGGCCCACGCGUCAAAACCCAGGAUUCCUCGCGUGGGCGUGCGUAUAUAGAUCUCAGCCCAGAGAGACAGAGGACGUGUACCCCAAGAACCAGAGAGCCAACCAACCCAACCCCUGAGCAUCUCCGGCCACGCAUCCGCUAAGCACACGCAAACAGCCGCCCCCACGAUACUCACGAGGCUUCUUCCCCUCCGUGCGCUCUCUUCUUUCCCCCGUCCCAUGGCCACCCCAGCGACGACGCCGGCGACGAUGCGGGCCGUGCAGUACGACGCCUGCGGCGGAGGCGCCGUCGGCCUCAAGGUAAACAGUUACUGUUCGGGAUAGCGGGUCGAAGCUUGUUAGUUUGCUUUGUGUUCUGGUCGGCGCGCGAGAUUGGUAUCCUUGGUGCCAAGGAUGAUUUGGGCGAUUCACUGGCUAAUUGACUACACUUAGUACUAAGUAUUAGAGUAUAUGUUAGGAACCCCUUGGUGGAGAUCGCAGUCAGUUCACUUGAAUCCUUUCUUUUGAAUUGUUUUUUAUGGCAAGACAAAUAGCCAAGUAGCUAGCUGUAGCUUACUCAAGUAAUAAAACUUUGCUCUAGCGGCUUUUGCUGUAUAAUUUGUGAUGGGCACUCGGUGGUUGUAUGAUCUAUUGAGUAAUUUAGUGGUUUCUAUGGUGGUCGUGUGUUGCACUAGCUAGAUAUAUUCUCUCUUUCUCGUGUCUACUUGGCUUUAGGAGUGGUUAAGAUGUGUUACAGUGGAAUUAGUUAAAUAGGUCGCGCAUACCUGCUGUUGGAUGCUCGGAAAAGCACUGCACAAUAGUUUUUGUAUUGUGACCCAUGAGUCAGCACCCCUGGAUCCCAAACAUAUUCCGAUGACGAGUCAGUCGGAAAUUUAUUAUUUAAAAGUUGCACAUGUCUGGUGUUAGAUGAUUGGAAAAGCACCAGAGACAACUUAUUGUAAAUUUUAAUAAGAUUGAGAUGACCAAGUCAGUUGUGUGAGCUCCCAUUGUGAGUCAAUCGGUCGACGGGGGAUUCUUUUCACAAGAACCCUAUUUUAGCCUAGAGAGGUUUGCCGGACAGCUUGAUGCUUAUACCGCUUAAUUAAUUAACAAACAAAUCAAAGUAGUUUGUUUUUUAAAAGAAAGGAGAACAGUAAACAUAAUAUUUCCUUCUUCCAUGAAGAUGAACCAGUAGAACCUAUAAACCUGUGAUUCUGAAAUCUCUCUAAUGCAGCAUGUAGAAGUCCCCGUCCCUUCAGCAAAGAAGAAUGAGGUCCUGCUGAAACUGCAAGCUGCAACCAUCAACCCAGUUGACUGGAAGAUACAGAAGGGGGACAUGCGGCCUCUGCUGCCUCGUAGACUGCCUUUUAUCCCAGGUAACUAUCCUCAUUCAUAGUGCCACUGCGUGGAUGCUAGCCAUUUUCUAUCAACCAUGGAUUCUGUUUGGAGGUUUCCUAUGUAGAGAACAAAAUAGCACCAAGCGUAGUUAUGAGAACGUUAUUUCAUCAUGUCAGUCUUGCUAUGUUAUUUUGUUCUUCACCUUUAACAACUAUCCAGGAUGUCUCUUAUCUGAUAAUCAGCUUAUGAUAAAGAUAGCAUAUGUGUGUGUGUGUGUGUGUGUGUGUGUGUGUGUGUGUGUGUUUGUGUGUGUGUGUGUGUGCAUGAAACAACUUGCUGAUAGAUGAACUUGCUGAUAGAUGCAUCUCUUCUCUACUGCUCCUUUUCUUGCAGUGACUGAUGUUGCAGGAGUAGUUGUUGAUGUUGGUCCCGGAGUGAAAGGUCUCACAGCGGGUGAUCAAGUCGUCGCCAUGCUGAACUCUUUUGUGAGUGAAGUUCACUCAUGACAACACAUUUCCAUGUUUGUCAUCUUCAUACUUAGAAAGAAGAUGAUUUCAGAACAAAUUCGCUUCUUUUAAAGAAAAACAAUAUUGCUGUAAACUCGUUAAUGUGAUAAUGUCUUUUGCUGUUACAGAACGGAGGUGGACUGGCAGAGUAUGCUGUAGCAUCCGCAAACCUGACCGUCAAAAGGCCAGCUGAGGUUUCUGCAGCUGAGGGUGCUGGGCUUCCUAUUGCUGCAGGCACUGCGCUCCAGGCACUGAGGUCCAUUGGUGCCAAGUUUGACGGCACCGGCAAGCCAUUAAACGUGUUGGUCACCGCUGCCUCUGGCGGCGUAGGCCUGUACGCGGUGCAGCUUGCAAAGCUAGCGAACCUUCAUGUUACCGCCACCUGCGGCGCACGCAACAUGGAUCUUGUGAAGAGCUUGGGCGCAGACGAGGUGAUGGACUACAGGACCCCAGAGGGGGCGAGCCUGCAGAGCCCCUCCGGCAGGAAGUACGACGGCGUGGUUCACUGCACCAUCGGUGUCAGCUGGUCGUCUUUCCAGCCAUUGCUCAGUGAUGCCGGGAGAGUGAUCGACAUCACCCCCAACUUCUCGGCCAUCCUCACAUCUGCGCUGCACAGGGUGACAUUUUCCAAGAAGCGCCUGGUGCCCCUGCUCCUGUCGCCCAACAAGGCGGACCUGGAGUUCUUGGUUGGGUUGCUCAAGGAAGGCAAGCUGAAGACGGUGAUCGACUCGAAGUUCCCGUUGAGCGACGCAGGCAAGGCGUGGCAGAGCAGUAUCGAUGGCCAUGCCACUGGUAAGAUUGCCGUUGAGAUAGAGAGCUGAUCGUCGUCGACGCUUGCUAGUAUUACAAAAGGACUUGCAUACAGACAGUGGACGUGAAUACUUAUUAGGAUGUAAUCAUACAGACUAGUCACUUGUGCGUUUGUUUAUUGGGGUGAUGUUCGUUUAUUCAGCUUAUUAUAUUAUCUUGUUAAAAGGGUAUUGAGAGAUAUGAGUUGCAACAAACUGUAUAUGGCUAUCGUAAACAAUAGCAUUGUGCUGUCAAAAAUACAGUUCGCUCUUUGCUGAUGCUUUGUGAACCACCACAAAGUGCUGCAGUGGUCAUCUGUUGGCCAGAAUUCAGUAUCACCUUCAGUUUUUUCUCGAUCCAAACAAAGAACCGUUGACCUCUGCAGAAGAACAAAUCGUAUACUGAGAGCCCAAAGCAGAACAGUAGGGGCGUAGGACGUCUCUUGAAUAUAGCAGACCAAAUUAGGAAGUUCAAUUCCAAAGCACAGGGACUGUGAUGCCAUUUAGUCGUUCCAGAAAAAGGGGUUUGGUGCACUAAUUUUUUUUAAAACGAGGCAAAAGAUUUGCCAUUUUUAUUGAAUAAGAGAGGAGUUUAGAGUUGAUGGCCAAAGGCCUGAUUACAGGCCACUGCUCUCGCAGCAUAAUAUUACACAAAUGCUUUGCGCCCGCAAGGCUUCAAAGCGAGCAUUCAUCUUUAAUCUUGACGACUAACACUCCUACCAGGACCGCGGUAUUACGGAAAACCCAAGCGUUUCGCUCCAUCCAAAUCUCCGAAGAGACAAGCAACUCUAAACAAUUACCCACACCAGUUAAUAAAAACUGAAGUUGACUUGCACAGCAAAUCAAGCUCGUGACGAUACGGCGUAAACUACUUGUGCUCCGUCUUGUGCGAAUCAGGUGACCUAGUUUAAAUAAUCAAAAAGGCUAAAAAUAUGACAUCAGAUAUUAGAUAGUGGCAAAUCAAACUUUUUUAUCAAGUUAUGUUGUGCGAUGACAAAUUUUCAAAGCAAGCAAUGUUUUAAGCAAGCAUUGCCCAUGCUUGCUUUACAAAAUUGCCAUCCACAAAACAACAUAAUUUGCCAUCUCAGGUGUUCGAUUUGCCAUGCUAAAAAAAACUGAUGUUCGAAUUGUAACAUAAUAUGUAAAGAAAAUCCAACAACGCAUCAGCUCAAAAGAAUGCCAAAACUUACUAGGACUGCAUCUGAAUAGAUUGUAAUAUUCUACAAUUAGUAACCAAUAUCACCAUUGCUUUCCUUGCCACAAAACAAGGAGAGCAUCAAUUUAUGACCUGAAUACGCUGACAACGACCGCACAUGAACCCAGCUCACGACACACCAUUUUUGUGAAUCUUAGUACGUUCAACGACAAUGAAAUAGCAAACUUCUACCAACGCAUAGCUACCAAACUCAC
rnacentral:lncRNA from 1 species